rnacentral:lncRNA from 1 species
GCAGACUCCACAAAUGAAGAAAAGAGCACAAAUGACGUUGGCAAACCUGAAACUUUCCCAUUGGGCAAUAAACAUUACUCCAGUCAAAAACAUUAUGGAAGAGGCAAACCUGAAACUUUCCCAUUGGGCAAUAAACAUUACUCCAGUCAAAGACAUUAUGGAAGAGGCAAACCUGAAACUUUCCCAUUGGGCAAUAAACAUUACUCCAGUCAAAGACAUUAUGGAAGAGGCAAACCUGAAACUUUCCCAUUGGGCAAUAAACAUUACUCCAGUCAAAAACAUUAUGGAAGAGGCAAACCUGAAACUUUCCCAUUGGGCAAUCAGCAUUACUCCAGUCAAAAAAAGUAUGGAAGAGGUGCUUCUCCAUCCGACAAUCAACCACCAAUUCCAUAGAAAUUCAAACACGGCUACUUUCUUGCCACGAGAAAGCGCUCAAUCGAUCCCCUUCUCCUCUAACAAACUACCAGAAAUUUUCAACCAUUUUUCAGUGAAGCCAACAUCUGAGGAAGCCAAAACAAUUAAGCAAACAAUCGAAGAGUGUGAAGCUCCAGACCUUAAGGGAGAGGAAAUAUAUUGCGCCACAUCUUUAGAAUCAAUGGUUGAUUUUAGCACUUCGAAGCUUGGAACAAGAAACGUUGAAGCAAUCUCGACGGAGGUAUUGGAAAAAGGAGCCACCAUGUCCAUCCAAAACUAUACAACAAUGCCGGGACUGAAGAAGUUGGCAGGUGACAAAGUCGUUGUGUGUCAUAAGCAGAACUAUCCCUAUGCUGUGUUUUUCUGCCAUGCAAUAAAACAUACAGCAGCUUAUGCUCUCUCCCUGAAAGGCGAUGAUGGGGAGAAGGUUAAAGCAGUAACCAUCUGCCAUCUAGACACAUCAGAAUGGGACCCAGAGCAUAUGUCCUUCAAAAUCGUCAACGUUAAGCCCGGAACCAUUCCCAUCUGCCAUUUCAUUUCCACUGAUGCUAUUGCCUGGGUUCCGAACCACAAAUCUGCAUGAUCAUCACUUAGCACUAGUACUGUGCGUAUAAUAUGCCUGUAUAAUUAUCUCCCUACUUAUUUCUGCCUGUUCAUCAUGUGGUGUAAGAUAUAUGUUGAGAUGAAGUUUUUGGGAUUAGUGGUCGAAAUUAACCCGAUCAUGUUUUCUCUUGUAACUAUAUAGACUUCAACUUGUACUCAUAAUAAAGCAUGCUAUAUUUAUGAAGAGAUAUUAAUCUUCAGGCAAAUAGAUAUUAUGAAAACAUAUAUAGCAAUUUAUCCAGAAGAAAUAUUAUGAAAUGAAAAGAAUAAAAAGUAAAAAAACAGAAGGAAAGGAAUUCGCACCUGCUAUGUAUGAAAGGACCAAGAUUGUUUUCCCUUUGGUUAAUGACUAGAAAAGCUCACUUGCAGAUUGCUUUCUCUGACCGUAGAUGCAACAGAAAUUUUCUCUUAAUAAUAGCACAAUGAUCGGGUAAUUGUAAGAACAAGUUGAUUUAAAAUUCCUUGACCCAAAAAAAAAAAAAAAAUCAUUUCAAAUUCAGGUCAACCCAUAGAUUUCUUGCCUUUUUCUUCUUCAUCACGUUGGGCUUGUCUUCUUCUUGAGGAUUGUAUAGGCCCAGGAAAUGCUUUGAGGUAGUUUUUGGCCUUGGAAGUUGGGACCCAACCCAACUUCACAAAAAGAAAACAGAUUUGCCAAAAAUCAAAUUUCAAGUCUCUCCUCAGAUCACUAAUACAGAUCAAAUUUUGGAUUUGAUGAACUAAAGUGGUUUUACUUUCUCUGUCAGUGUUUGAUGACUUAAUUUGUUAUUUACUUCUUUUUUUUUUUUUACUUGAUCUUUGUAGGGGUUUUUUUCUUCCGGUAACUUAAACGGGCUGGGCUGCCGUAAAGGGUAGAUUGAUGAAAUUGUCUCCUUUGUCUGAGUUCGAAAAUCAAGCCCCAAAAGCGCUUCGAAAGGGCAGUAGAGCCUUAGGAAGCGUUCUAGUCAUCUUCACCAACUAAAACAACAGCAACUUACAGAUGAUUUCUUAAGGCUUACAGAUAAAUUUUCUAGCUUGGCAUGAGAGGCUUGUGACAUGGAAGCAAAAUCAGCAUGAGUUUAGCACCAAAGAGGAAAAUAUGGCUUCCUAGGGAGAAAUGGGAGUGUUUAAGGUGAGGAAGAAGAGGUUUGCAGGCUGAUUUGGCUGAGGAGAGAGAAAGAAAGAACAAUGUUCUUCCAGUAGCUUGACAAAGCUUCUGACAGAUGUGAAAGUCGUCUGCCAUAAGAGGAAAAUGAAGAAGAAUGGUGAAUAGUGCAUGAAAUUGCUGGGUUUUUGCAGGUAAGAGAGAAAGCUUGCUCUCUGAAUUUGAGUUGGUUUUUGGUUGGGUAGAAGAGGCCCCCUUUUAUAGCUGCGGGAAACCAUCUUUUUUCAAGAAACCCUAAUGGUUUCUAUCCAUUUUGGCCAAGCUUUUCCCUUCAUUUCUCUUCUCCUCCCUUGACUUUUCCUAUCUUGGUGAAAUUUCCUCUGCCUAUUUGCACAAAAUUAGAGAUUUUGAGGAGCUCAAGACCCCUUUCCCGCAGCUGCCUCAGUGGAGAAUCCCCAUUUUCAGUCAUCUUUCUUCCUUCUUUUCUCCCAUCUUCCAAGGUUAGGUCUGAUGAGGGAAAGAAAUGGGUAUGCACACUGGUUUGAAGGGUAUUUUUGCUUGAAACUUGUUCUCUCCCAUGUGCUGGAGCUUCCCAGCAACUUACACACAUGGAUAUUUUGGCUUUCAUCGUGGCUUUUGUUUUCAGCUAGGUGCUGGAGAUUUCGCAGAUAUUUUCAUGAGUUGCUUGGGCCUUCUAGGACAAUAGGUUGGUUUAUCAAGUGAAUGGGCUAACUUCAUCAAUUGUUGGGCUAUUUUGGUUGAGUUAAUGGACUAUUUUGGUUGAAGUAAUGGGCUAUUUUGGUUGAAUUAAUGGGCUAUUUUUCUCUCUUUGUGCUCACCCACAUAUUUGGGCCUAAGAAAUGGGCUUGAGUUCCGGGGCUCCCAAGCAACCCCGGGACUUCCAUUUCUCGGCCCAUCAAUGGGCCUCAUAUCAACUUAUUACCAUCCAUAUCACAACCCACUCAAGCAAGCCCUGGGCAUCUUGCGUGGCUUGGGCCCACUUAAGCUUGUAGCGUGACGUGUUGCUUAUUUGCUUGGCAUGGCAUGUGUGCAAGCGCAUAUGACGAACUUUAGCGUGCCCAAAUUGGGUUUAUUCUCGGUAAGGUAUCGCAUUGGGCCGAGAAUUUAAUUGGGCAGAACUGUGGAUUUUUGGGCCUCAACAAUCUUAUAUAUAUUGGUUUUCUUUUUUUCCUUAAUAUUCACCACCUUUCUGUUGCAUAAGUAUUUCAGUCUUAACGGGUUUCCAUCUACCACUCAUCUUUGCUCUUUUAAGUGUAAGCUUUUUUUUUUUUUUUUUAAGCACAAGAUUAGAGGGGAGGGGGAUUUCUCAAUGUAAGCUUUGCAGUUUCAUAAUUAAUAUUUCCAAUAUCUCACUGUUAGUAAAAUAUGGAACAGGAAAAGUAUGAAUAAAAUACACACAUGUUUUAUUUAGCAAAAUUUUGACAAGAUACAACUGAAAAGUUUGGCCACUAUAUAAUAUUUUGAUAUAAUUUCUACACUUCUUCUCAAAAGAUUAGAUCACUUCACAUCUUGUGUAUGUGAAAACUAAUGUAAAAAGUUGAAACUUUAUCGUAAAACCUCGACAAAAAUGAGCUCUACUAGAAAAUGUUCAAUUUGGAUUCGUUGAUUUAAAUGGCAAUUUGACACUUGAUAGAAAUUUUUACAUACAUGUGUUAGUGUUUGAUCACUUCACAUGUUACUUACUAUAUUUAUUCCACUCAAGUUAGGUAAAUAUUAUUAUCAAACAUUUCAAUUAAUUUGUGAUUUUUUUAUUAUUUAAUCAAUUAUGAAUUAAUGGAUUCUUCUUGUUGUUUUGAAGACCAAUAAAAAAAAAAGGGUAAGGAUGGCUUAUAACUCUGAUAAAACAACAGUGACGUGGACAGCAGAUGUUACACCGUACUGAAGAUUUUUGAAGAUUCUUUAUUUGGGUUUCUUUCAAGAUGAAAACCAUAUUAUCCACAACCACAAUGAAGAAGACAGAAAAUGGAGUAAUUCAGAUGUUACCAGCCAUCCACGACAAACUGAAGUCUGCAAAGCAUUCGUAAUCUAAAGGGAGACUUUGGAAAAGCCCAAAGGAGAGAGAAAAUUUUUAAAAGAAGCAAAAAUGGACAAAAUUGCCCUUAUUUAUUUUUUGAUUUCCUAAGAAAUCCUUUACAUUUGCAUGUCUUUGGUUUGAAAGUUGAGAGGUUAUUCUGUCUUUUUUCAAAAAGCUUUGGCUUUUUCCAAAAGUGAAAGUUUUUUUAUGGGUAAAACCUAAAUUUACUUAAUCCCUAAAAAGGAUGGGGAGGCUGCGCAAUACUUAGCCACGUGUAGGCCAGGAGGCUUUCCAAUUUUAAUAUAUAUAUAAAUUGAAAAAAUAAAAUAAAAAUCAAUCUAUUAUCCUAUAUAAAAUAAAGAUUAUUGCUUCCAUGGGCAGUGCUAUGCACAGGACAGUGCCUGCCCAGCACAAAUUUUUUUUAAAUAAAAAAAAAAAAUCUACAUAUGUUAUAAGCUCAUCCAAAAAAAUAAAAUAAAAUAAAAGUAAAUUCUACAUAUAUGUUGCCCAUCUAGGUGGUUCCAUAUCUUCUCUCUCCUUCUCUUUUGGCUAUUAGACUUCUUGUUUCUCUCUCUCUCUUUGCUACCUCACAUCAGCAAGUUUCUCCCUCUCUUUUUUUGGGGUCAAAUUCUUCCUCUAUUGACAAAAUCUUCUAUUAUCUUGGGUGGGCAACUUGGCAACAACAUCUUCUCUUCUCCUUUUGUCAACAACAAGUAUUAUUCUCAUUCUCUCAUUUGCUAUAUAUCUUUAAUUAUAGUUUUAAUUUAAAAUUGAGUAUUCUAGGGUUUAAUUAGGGAUGAAUUAUAAUUUUAGAAUUUUGUUGAAAUUAAUUAAGGCUUCGAUUAGGGGUGAAUUAUUCUACUGCUUUGGUUUGGAAUUUUGUUAAAAUUGAGUAUUAUAGGGUUUAAUUAUGGAUGAAUUAUAAUUUUUGAUUUUGGUAUUAUUGAGAUGUUAUUAUGAGAAUUUGUUUCAUUUUUUUAUUGGUAUAUUUGAUUAAAAUUCUUUCUACAUAUUAUUCAUAGGCUAUCUUUUAUUAUGUCGGAUCACAAUCGGAAUCCCAAGAGAACAAAGAAUUUGAAUAGUGUUGUUUUGUAUUGCAUUGCAUUUACUUUUGGUUUUAGUUUUGCUUUUAGUGUAAAUUACUCAAAUGGUCCUCAAAUUUGUACCCGAUUUACAUUUUGGUCCAUAAACUAAAUUAUUCAUUCAAAUGGUGCACCAACUCUUUAUUAAUCAGUGCUUUGGUCCUACCGUUAUGUUUUCUAUUAAAUUUAGUCAUGUGAGCAGCACAUGCUACAUUUGUAGGGGUAAAUAAGACUUUUGACCACUUUAUCACCUAUGUAUCACCACUUUAUAACCUAUUUGGAGAACAUAGGUCAGUUAUGGACGGUUUUACAAUUAUAUUUGACGGCAACAUUAACAUAAUGUAACAGUGGGAUCAAUGGAGCGAUUAAUAUAGAGUUGAUGGACCGUUUGAACGAAUAAUUUAAUUGAGGGACCAAAACGUAAAUUGAGUAUAAGUUUGAGGACCAUUUGAGUAAUGUACCCUUCGCUUUUAUAUUUGUUGAACUUUUAUUUAUGGAUAGAUAUGCAUUUGAGGGUAAGACCCAUUAUGUUCCCCCUGACUUGGUGUAUCUUUUUAUGUUUAUUAAUGAAAUUCACUCGAACUGUUGAGUUUAGUAUGUAAGUUUUGCCUAACCGGCUUUUGAAUCCUAGAACCGCCACUGUUGCUCCAUCCUCCAUGCACUUGCAUGUGCUCUUACAAAGUGUGAAGUAGAUUUUGUGUGCUCCAAGUCAUUGACUAGAGCUGAAACAUGGUUAGCUAGAUUUAUAAGGACCCAUCUCUCUAUUUCCUAGACAUAUACCCAUCUCUCUAUAAAUCUAUAUGUAAAACUCAAUUUCAAACUUAAAUGACCAGUAAGAUAUAAGAGGUCAUAGUAUUCCUAUGUUUUUACAUCGUUGCCACCAGACUUCUUAUUUUAUUUAUAAUUUAUUUCAAGCAUUUCAUUAACUGCCAUAAUUGUAAUUAAUACUCCAUAUUAAUAGCAUAUCAAUCACCCCAUUUCUUUUGAUUGCCAUUCCCUCUAACAUAUCGCCCCUUAAAAUUGAAAACCAAAAAAAAAAAAAAUGUAAAUUACAUAUCCAAUAAUGUACCUAUGAAAAAUAUAAAUAUAAAUAUAUACGUAUAAAAAUAUAGGUUUAUUAUUUACCAAAUAAAAAAUAUAAAAAAACUAGGUCAGUUGCUUUGUAAUUGAAAUUUCUAUACAUUUUCCACAAAUUAAAAAUAGGUACACAAUAAUUUAUAGAAAAUAUAGGUGCAUUAUUUAUCCAUAGGUAAAAAUACCUAUAAAUGCACAUAGGUAAAUUAUUUACCCAUAUAUUAUUUUUUUGCUAAGGAUUUACCUUAGUUUUUAGUAGAUUAAUUUACCUACCUAGAGGCAUAGGUAGCUUAAAAAAAUUGUAGCACCUUAGUUGGUUGCAUACUAAUUUACCUACCUAGAGGCAUAGGUUGCUAAGAAAAAAUGUAGGUAAAUUCAUGUACCUAAACACAUAGGGGUCAAAUAGAGAAUAACAUGUUAUUUCCCUUCGAACAAAUUAAUUUCAAACCAUAACAAUAAUUGAAUUCGGAAAUUGGUAUAAAUAAAAGGAAAUAAAUAAGCUAUCAAUUUGAAAAUUAAAAUAAGAAAUGAUCAAGUAGUCAUAUUUGAAAAAAAAGAAAAGAAUAUAUUCUUGGUUUUUAUAGGAACAACGUGUAUAUUCAAACCAAAUGGCAGUAACUACACCAAGCUUUAAUUACUUUUUUUUAAGGCCAAAAGUCACUUUUGGUCUCUGUAGUUUGACACUUCUAUUACUUUUGACGCUGUAGUUUCAAUUCCGUCAAUUUUGCCAUUGUAGUUUCAUAUUUGUAGCAAUUCAAGGACAUGUUAAUAUUAAUGUCAAUUUGUUUAAUGAUGCAAGGGGUAAUUUCGUCAUCCCAAAAUCCUUGAGCAUAAAAGCUUGUCUGAAAUUCUCCCCAUUUCAUAUUAGGGCUCGAAAUUCAACCACUAAUCCCAAUUUUUGAAGAACCCUAUACCCAAAUGACCAAUUUCAAGCCCUAAUAACAAAUUAGGGAAGUUUUAGAUGAGCUUUUAUGCUCAAGGAUUUUGAGUUGAAGAAAUUGCCCCUUGCACUGUCAAAGAAAUUGAUAGGAAUACUGACUUGUCCUUGAAUUGCUACAAAUACAAAAAUACAGGGUCAAAAUUAACAGAAUUUAAACUAUAUGGUCAAAAGUGGUUAAAGUGCCAAACUACAAGGACCAAAAGUGACUUUUAGCCUUUUUGUUUAAAUAAGGAAAAAACUUACCUAUUAAAUCCUUGGAAUCUAUACAAAAUUGAAACACAGUUAAUCAGCAUUGAAUUGCAGCUAAUUUCUUAAACAAGGGUAUUAUAGGAAUUUAAAAAGUAUAACAUUUAAUCCAUUGAGCUUGAUUAGGAAUCUUGAUGAGUUGGAUCCUAGUUAUAUAGUUUCUCUUAUAAAAAUCGGGUUUUAUUUAUAGACAAAUAAAACAAUGGGUUGUAGGUAAGAAAAUAUUAAUUUGAAGGGAAAGUGUCACAUCCUGGGAUCGGCUCCGCCGUAGCACGAUAUUGUCCGCUUUGGGCCCCCCUCUCUGCCCGCACGGUUUUGUUUCUGGGAGCUCACGAGCAACUUCCCAGUGGGUCACCCAUCCUGGGAUUGCUCUGGCCCCCAACUCGCUUAACUUCGGAAUUCCUAUGACUCCGAAGCCAGUGAGCUCCCAAAAGGCCUCGUGCUAGAUGGAUGCGGGUGUGUACAUAUAAGACACAUCACCCCCUCUCCGUUGGUUGAUGUGGGAUCUUACAGAAAGAGUCAAAUUUACUAAAUUAAUAAAGCAUAAAUUGGAAAGGGAAAAGAUCUAGAGGAUGCAUUGUAGGAUUGCUCAUGCCAAUAAUUGCACCCUCUCGAUAUUGAAAAACCUAUUGUGUAUUAUUAUCUUCAAUCAUGAAUGAUGCACCUAAAACCCAAGUGUCCCAAGCCAACCAUUGCGCUCAUACCACUUGUUGCAGUACACAUUCACCCGUUUUUAAAGAAAGAAAUUCUACCAAUCGAUAUUGUCUCAAAUUUAAUCACAUAGGUCUAUUAUGGUUAACCAUAUGUACUUUUAUCGGCCAUAUAGAGGUACCUUUUUCCAACGUGCAACAAUUGUAUUUGAUUCACAAUUAUGUCUGAUAUACAUCACAUCAUGCCACUUGCCUCAAAUGAAUUUAAUUGAGUGAGGCAAUGGGAAGUAAUUAAGCUCUAUAUUGGUGGGUGGAGUGUUACUUCUGGAACCCUCAUCAUUCGUCCAUACAAGGGAACAAUUCCCUUCCUUCUAUAAAAUGGUGAAGCCAGUUGCUAUUGUUUGUUAGAGUUUUAGGAUCUGAGUGUUAGAUUUUGUGAGAAGAGAGAAGAGAAUUUAGUGAAAACUUCCAAUACUGCUCUGCUAUACGUGUAGCAGAGAGAACAUUCUGUUUUGUUAUAUAUUUUCAGUACAACAACACACACUUGGUGUGAGAAGAAAAAUGACUGUUAUGCACAGUACCAGCUGGAUGCUUUCCAUCAAAGUAAUCUCAGCCAUUCACUAUCUAACCAAUCAAGCUAUGACACCUGGACUAAGUAUAAAGAAAUACAACUAAGCAGAAAACAAGACUCUUAAUCCUGAAAUCAACUUAAGCACUUAUAAUUCAACACUCCCCUUUAAGUCUUGAGGUGAUUUCACUCCAAGCAUGCCUCUGAGAUAAUUGAAUCUGUCUUUGGCCAGAGGUUUGGUAAAAAUGUCAGCCAAUUGUUCAUUUGUAGGACAAUAUUCCAGAUUGAUUACCCCUUCUUGCAAUGCAUCCUUGAUGAAGUGAUACCUCCUGUCAAUAUGCUUUGUCUUCUGGUGGAAUACAGGGUUUUUAGUGAUUGCAAUUGCUGAGAUAUUAUCACAAUGCAAUGGAGUAGCUUCAGUUUGAAGCUCUCUAAAGUCUUCUAGCACAAAACGGAGCCAAAUAGCUUGAGUAGUAGCCUCAGCUGCACUGAUGUACUCAGCUUCUGCAGUAGACAGUGCAACACAGUUCUGUUUCACUGAGGCCCAAGAAAAUACUCCACUUCCAAAACUAAACGCAUACCCUGAUGUGCUCUUGCAAUCACCAACUGAUCCUCCCCAAUCACUGUCACAGUAACCAACUAGAAUUGAUCUUUUGCCUUUCACAUAUUCAAGACCAUAGUCCAGAGUUCCUUUGAUGUAUCUCAAAACCCUUUUAGCUGUUCCAUAGUGUCUAUUUGUAGGACAGUGCAUGAAUCUAGCUAGCAAGCUUGAGGCAUACAUGAUGUCUGGUCUUGUAGCAGUUAAGUACAGCAAGCUACCAACAAUGCUUCUGUAUUGUUCUUCAUUUGCAGCUCAACUCCCAUCAUCCUUAGCUAGUUUCUCAGUGGCAACAAGGGGUGUUGUCACAGGUUUGCACUCAGUCAAACCAAACUUGCUCAACAAGGUGCUAGCAUAUUUCUUUUGAUGUAGAAAUAUACUAGACUCAGUCUGAAUAACUCCCAUGCCAAGAAAGUGAUGAAGUAAGCCCAAAUCAGUCAUCUCAUACUUAGCCAUCAUGUCUUCUUUGAAUUCAGCCAACAAUGCUUGACUGCUCCCUGUAUACACAAUAUCGUCUACAUAGAUAGACACAAUUAGAAUCUCCUUAUCUCCCCUUACUUUGGUAUAUAAGGUUGUUUCACUUAAGCUUUUCACAAAACCACAUUGAGUGAAGUAGCUGUCUAUCUCUCCAUACCAAGCCCUUGGGGCUUGCUUCAGACCAUAAAGGGCUUUAUGCAAACGAUAAACCUUGUCUUCUUUACCUUUAAUUACAAAACCUUCAGGCUGACUGACAUAAACUUCCUCUUGCAGCACACCAUUAAGGAAAGCAGACUUCACAUCAAGCUGGAACAAUUUCCAAUCCUUUUGAGCAGCUAGAGCAAUAAGUGUUCUAAUGGUGUCCAAUCUGGCUAUAGGUGCAUAAGUCUCAUUAUAAUCCAGUCCAGGCUUCUGAGCAUACCCCUUAGCCACUAAUCUUGCUUUAUUCUUUUGCACUGAGCCAUCCAAAUUCAGCUUUGUCUUGUACACCCACUUAACUCCAAUCACUGGUUUUUCAGUUAGUCUAUCUACCAAUUCCCAUGUUUCAUUCUUUUCAAUCAUCUGCAGUUCAUCUUCCAUAGCCUUAAGCCAAGAUUCAUCCUGAGCAACAUCAGCAUAUUUUUCUGGUUCCAUGAUACACAAGUUACACUGAGCUAGAACAUCAUCUAGCCUUCUCCAUUUUAGAGGGGUGUGAUCAUAAGCUUGAGUUCUCCUUUCUUCACUGCUUAUAUCACCUGGAGUUGAUGAAAUGCUCUCUUGCAUAUCCAAAGUUUGAGGUGUACCAGUAGAAUUCUCAUUAGAACUGUCAGAUUUCAAGUCCAAAUCAACUUGGUUUUCAAUUGAGUAUGUUGUCAUAACUGAACCAUUUUUGUUUGUCCAAUGCCAAGCAUUUUCUUCAUCAAAUGUCACAUCCCUUGAUAGUAAAAGCUUGUUAGAAACAGGAUCAAAAACUCUAUAUCCUUUUUCACAAGUUGCAUAUCCCACAAACACUCCCUUUGUACUCUUAGGAUCCCGCUUGUGUCUCAAUUCAGUUGGCACAUGAACAUAACACAGAGAACCAAACACUUUCAGAUGUGCAAUUCCAGGCUUCCUUCCACUAUAUGCUUCGAAUGGAGUAAUGUUGUUGAGAGCUUUGGUAGGACAUCUGUUCAGCAAAUAGAUAGCUGUAUGCACAGCUUCUGCCCAUAGGAAAUAAGGCAUUCCCUUCUCAUGUAACAUUGAUUUUGCCAUCUCAAUGACAGUUCUAUUCUUCCUCUCAACUACUCCAUUCUGCUGAGGAGUAUAGGCCAUUGUAAGCUGCCUUUGAAUGCCAUUAGCUUCACAAAACUCCAAAAAAUCAGUAGACAUAAACUCUCCACCCCUGUCACUUCUUAUGCACUGAACCUUGUGUCCAGUUUGUAAUUCAGUCAUGGACUUGAACUUCUUGAAACAAAAGAAGGCUUUUGACUUGUUUCUCAAGAAGUAUACCCAAAUCAUUCUUGUGAAAUCAUCUAUAAUCAGCAUGAAAUAUCUGUUCCUUGCAACAGACUCAUUUCUCAUGGGACCACAGAGAUCCACAUGUAUUAGCACUAGUACUUUGCUUGCUCUUUGAGCUUGAUCUUUUGGAAAAACAUUUCUGUGCUGUUUUCCAAAUUGGCACCCGUCACACACACCACUUUGUUCUUCCAAUUUUGGUAAACCAUGUACCAUUUCUUUAUCACUUAGCUGCUUCAAUCCUCCAAAAUGCAGAUGACCAAAUCUCUUGUGCCAAAUCCAUGUGGAUUGAAGAAAACUAGUCUUCAUUAGUAACUGUUUUUCAGCUAGAAAAGAGACAGGAUAGCAUCUGUUACUCUUCAUUUGCACCUUUAUGAUGAGAUAAUCCAUGGAUGGGCUAUCAAAUACCCUGCACAUCCCUUCUCCAAACACUAGACAGUACCCAUGUUCAUCCAUCUGCCCAACACUUAGCAGAUUUUCUUUCAAUCCUGGCAGAUACAUUACUUCUCUGAUGUAUUUCCUGCCCUUUGCUGUAUCAAUACUCAGUGAGCCAAUACCAGCUACACUCACUAAUGCACCAGUUGGCAUUUGUACUCUCCCAGCUACAUUAGUUCUCACAUCAACCAGCAAAUCUAAAUUUCCUGUCAUAUGAUUGCUGCAGCCACUGUCAAUGUACCAUUCAUUGGUUUUGAUCUCAGUGGUUGAGCAAUUGGCAUAAAACAGGUUUCCUGUAACCUCCAUUUGAUUUACACAAUUAGCCUUCUGCACAUUUUUGCUCACUGUACAGUCUCUAGCAAGAUGUCCAACUCUGUCACAGUUAUAGCAUUUUGGUUUUCCCUUAUACCUGCACUCACCAAAAUGAUGCUUUGAACACACCUUGCAUUGAGGCUUUGUGUUUUCCUGAUUUGAGAACUGUGUUGAAGUGUGGUUCUGUGCAGAAUAAUUAUUCUGCUGUGUCUUGUCUUUUGCCUCCCAUGACUUCCCUUUAGAGUUCCAGCUUCUCUGUGACUUAGAUGAACCAGACUGAGAAGCAUUUUUGUUCUGACCCUUUGAAUUCACAGUGAAUGAGGCAAAUGCCUUCUCAGCUGUAUCAACACUAUGCAUUUCAAGCCUUUGCUCCCGACUCUUCAAAAUGGCAGUUACUUCCUGCAAAUCCACAGUUUCUAGUGUCUUUGUGUUUUCAAUCACAAUGCAUAUAGGGUCAUACUUCUUACUUAGACUAAUUAACACCUUCUGAACCUACCUCUCAUUUGACAGAACUUCACCAAAUGUUUUCAUUUGGUUAAUCAAUUCAGUUAGUCUAGUAAGAUAUUCAGAUAAGGUUUCACUAUCACGCAUCCUACUGUAUUCAAACUCACGUCUAAGGUUUUGAAGCUUUACCGAUCUAACAUGCUCUCCACCAUGAUAUUCUGAGUACAGCAGAUUCCAAGCCAUCUUUGCAGAGUCAGCAUUGGCAAUUCUGGGAAAAAUCUGAUCAGAAACAGCAUUUUGAAUGAUACCCAAGGCCUUCGCAUCCUUCAUGAGAAUCGCAGCUGUUUUCUCAUCAACUUCUUCUUCUGAACCAUCCUCAGAUUCCUGCUUCGUCUUUGAAUCUGGGAUUAAAAACCCCUUCUCUACCAAACCCCAUAAACCAUAUGAUCUGAAUAUGGUUACCAUCUUAAUCCUCCAAAAUUCAUAGUUCUCACCUGAGAAAAUGGGGAUUCUAGCCUCUGAACUUCCAGAUCCAGCCAUUACGAAUUUCAGAUUCGCCUGGAAACAAGAUGUUUUCAGAUUUGACCCUUGAUCGAGCUCAAUCAGCUUCGUGAGCUUAGAAUGAGCUCACCUCGAUCGAUUUUCUUCACAGAACAACGCCCAGCUUCAGAUAAUCAAACUUGGCUCUGAGGCCAUGUUAGAGUUUUAGGAUCUGAGUGUUAGAUAUUGUGAGAAGAGAGAAGAGAAUUUAGUGAAAAUUUCCAAUACUGCUCUGCUAUACGUGUAGCAGAGAGAACAUUCUCUUUUGCUAUAUAUUUUCAGUACAACAACACACACUUGGUGUGAGAAGAAAAAUGACUGUUAUGCACAGUACCAGCUGGAUGCUUUCCAUCAAAGUAAUCUCAGCCAUUCACUAUCUAACCAAUCAAGCUAUGACACCUGGACUAAGUAUAAAGAAAUACAACUAAGCAGAAAACAAGACUCUUAAUCCUGAAAUCAACUUAAGCACUUAUAAUUCAACAUUGUUACCAUAAGAGCCAGCUCCGACUUUCUUUAAUUUCAGUCCUAACGGGGUUUCAUCUUCCACUCAUCUUUGCUCUUCUCAGUGUAAGCUCUGCAAUUUGAUUAACUUUCCCAUUAUCUCUCACUGUACUCUAUAUAAAGGAAUAAGUGUCGUCCACUAAUUAAUUACACUUUGUGAGAUUUGAUUUUAAUUAGAGUUCGAAUUGAUGUUGCAGCUAGCAGCGGUGGCACUGGCAAACCAUGCUGCUCAACCAGCACCUCAACUUUACUGGAACUCCGUCCUGCCAAACACACAAAUGCCAAGAGCUAUCAGUGAACUUCUGCAUCCUGGUUUGUGUUGAAUAAAUAUAGUAUGUUACUGGAGUACGUAUGGCAACAUAUUCACAAAUGUGUCACGUAUUUUCCAAUAUGACGUUGAUAUAUAAUUGCAGACUCCACAAACGAAGAAAAGAGCACAAAUGUCAUGAAUGCUGUUGGGAAUGGAAAGCCAAUUGACCACAAGGGCAACCUGAAAAUACUGUACUACCACAGCUUGCACGACGCCCAUUUUCUUACAAGAGUGAUGAUCGUCCCACUGACAAUCAACUCCAUUAUAAAAACGUAGCUAUUUUCUUCUUGGAGAAGGACAUGCGCCCUGGCACAACAAUGAGCUUCCAAUUCCCUAGAAAUUCAAACACGGCUACUUUCCUGCCACCAGAAAGAGCUCAAUCGAUCCCCUUCUCCUCUAACAAACUACCAGAAAUUUUCAACCAUUUUUCAGUGAAGCCAACAUCUGUGGAAGCCAAAACAAUUAAGCAAACAAUCGAAGAGUGUGAGGCUCCAGGCAUUAAGGGAGAGGAAAUAUAUUGCGCCACAUCUUUAGAAUCAAUGGUUGAUUUUAGCACUUCGAAUUUUCGAACAAGAAACGUUCAAGCAAUCUCGACAGAGGUAUUGGAAAAAGGUGCCACCAUGUCCAUGCACAAGCAUACAACAAUGCCGGGACUGAAGAAGUUGGCAGGUGACAAAGUCGUUGUGUGUCAUAAGCAGAACUAUCCCUAUGCUGUGUUUUACUGCCAUGUAAUAAAACCAACAGCAGCUUAUGUUCUCUCCCUGAAAGGCGAUGAUGGGGUGAAGAUUAAAGCAGUAGCCAUCUGCCAUCUAGACACAUCAGAAUGGAACCCAAAGCAUUUGGCCUUCCAAAUCCUCAAAGUUAAGCCCGGAACAAUUCCCAUCUGCCAUUUCCUUCCCACUGAUCAUAGUGUCUGGGUUCCGAACCACAAAUCUGCAUGAUCAUCACUUAGCACUGUACGUAUAAUAAGCUUGCACCCCUGUAUAAUUAUCUCCCUACUCUACUUAUUUCUGCCUCUUCAUGUGGUGUAAGAUAUAUGAUGAGAUGAAGUUUUUGGGAUUAGUGGUCGGGUUGCCUUAAAAACACAGAUUACAGAAACUGCUUGAACUUAACCCGAUCAUGUUUUCUCUUGUACUCGUAAAGCAUGCUGUUGUGGUUCUACUUAAUUUCGUUCUCCCCAAUGUUUGAGUGUUUAAUUGUUACGUUGGAUAAUGCUUGUAGUUAGAGAAGCCUUCAUUUAUAUCAAAGUCCUCAACUUGUAAAGAUAUCAAUGGUCCUAGUGCUGCCACGUGUAAGAAGAUUGAAGAAUAAAGCUGUUGAGAUAUUGUUAGACCUGUUAUGCAGUUUAGGAAAACUGUUAGUAUUGAUAAGAGAAGGUUAGAGAUGUUAGAGAGGUUAGAAAACACGUGAACAAGGCUUUAACUCAGCUGAUAUAAAGUCUGUAGUUGUGCUCAGUUGAACUUAAUGAGAAAUACAACAAGUCUCUUCUCUAUCUCUGAAAUUCUCUCUGCUCUCUCUGCUUUACUUCUUUUGUCUCUGCUCUACAUUUUUUUUCAAUCUUCCUAUCUUAACAAAACUAUCAAGAAUUAAUGCAUCCAGAAACAUAUAUACCAAGACGCAAAACAACAUAUUUUUCAUGCUCUGUCUGUAACACCAAAGCAAACUUCCUUUAUCACAAAAGGAUCAAAUUCCAGUACUAAUCUAAUCCAUCAUGUAAAGCAUACAAUCUACAAGUGCCUCCCUUAAUUUGUCCAUUGGAUAUAUAUGUCACUUUUUGGUAAUUUGGUAUAGCAGCACCACGUAGUCUUGAAAUAGUAGUGCGGCUAUACCAAAUAUACCAUUUGCCCCUGCAUUUAACAGAAAAGUAAACAAAAUUGACGGUAGAACUAUUUGUCCUAACGAAACUGCAGUUGAAAGACCAUGAGAACGAUUUUGAAAAUUGAGGGACUCAAAUGAAAAUUGGGUCUAAGUUCAAGAACCAAUAAAACGAUUAACCCAUAGAUUUUGGAUCCAGUACCACAUCCCAAAGAGAAAACCACAAGUUUGCAAGCAAGUUUGUCCAUAAUAACACUACGUACAGUAUGGGCAGUGCGCUAGACUCAUCUCACUUUCUCAACCUAUCCUAUAGUUGUCUAAAAGAGUUUCUAAUUUAAUGUACUGAGAUUUACGAAAGAAAUAUCAGAGAAACAAUUUUCAGGCAAUAAAAAAAUGUCUUGGCAAGAAAAUGUACAAUUUGUUACAUAACUUAUUAAAUAUGAACAGUUGAAAGAAAAAAGAAUCUGGAUGAGGGAUUUGCAAAUUCCUAUGGCCCAAUUACCUUUUUUUCUUUGUUGUUUUUUUUUUUUUUUUUUUGGUUCUUUUGAUCCAGUAGCAUAUUCCAAAGAAUGAAAACCACAGGCAUGCAAUGCAAGCUCUUUUCCCACGUUUUCCUCUGUUUUUCUCCUAUCAUGGAAGUGAUUAAAACACACCUCUAAGCUUGUUUUGCGUUUGGUAGCCGAGUGUAAAAGCUCAAUGCAAGAUAGUUUGAGGUAGAAUUUUCUCCUAUUUUAUUAGGACAAUGAUAAUUAAAAAAAAGUGUGAUUCAUUGAAUAUUUGCGGGGUUUUGUUCAGACCUGACAAAGUUCUAAGUCAACACAUCAAAUUCCUUUUUCCAACAUGCAACAAUUGUAUUUGAUUCCCAAUUUUUUCUGAUAUACAUCACAUCAUGCCACUUGCAUCAAAUGAAUUUAAUUGAGUGAGGCAAUGGGAAGUAAUUAAGCUCUGUAUUCGUGGGUGGAGUGUUACUUCUGGAACCCUAAUAAUUCGUCCCUACAGGACUCUAGAACUCUCAAACUUCUUACAAGGACUACUUAACUCUAUAGCUUAAUGCAUAUAGCAUAUAUAUGCAAACACAAUUAGAAAUUCUACAACAGAAGCAAGAUCAAUCUCACUAUGCCUUCUAAACAAACAAACAAAUAAAACAAGCAUAUUAAUUGCUUUAAUCACUCUACUAACAUCAACACAGCACACUUAGUUUACUAACAGAUGAUAUAGAAAGGAAAAAAAAGGACCAAUAGGGAGAAAAUGGUGAACUAAGGAGAGACUAAUACUUCUGGUCCUUAGAAGGCAUAACAGAAAUAAUAGAGCACACUGCUUGAAUGCAAGUCAGUAUUAGGAGCAAAACAGCUGCAAUGAAAGAAAUAGUUGCCCAAGGUGUAUUGAAAUAAUGUUGCCUCAAAUUUGCCUUCCAUUUGUUCCAAGGCUUUCUGCAGUAGCUAUUAAGGCGCUCAGAAAGAAUAGCAAAGUAGAAGCUUUCACGAUACACUGCAAUUCCUUUUCCGAGGUUGUUAAUCAGAGUGCACACCUCAUUGUAGUCACCAAGCAUAUUUUUGACAAUCCCAUCCUUCAGAAGGAACUCCACAUCCUUUUCGGUGUUCACAAACUCAUCCAUGAGUGAAACAUAAUCACUUAUGUAAUUCUUACGGCAAUGGCACUAUUCAAAGGCAAUGAGGUUACGGAGUGUGAGCUCUGUGUAAUCGUGUAUUUUUAGUUUUGGAAUUUCUAGAAUCCCAUCGUUGAAUUGUGUUAACGCAGCUUUCCUUUCCUAGCCUACACGGAAGUCAACUUCACAAUCUCCUCCUAGCAAUUAGUCUUUCCUGCUGUAAAUCAGAUUUCCUACUGUAAAUCGGAUUGUAUUCAUGUCUAUAUUAUUUCCUACUUUAAGUAGAUAUCUUGUACUAGUAUAAAUAGGGACUUUGUGUAAUCUGUUAAAUACAAGGAAAUAUAUACUCUGCAUGGUAUCAGCCUAACCUAGGGUUCUCUCUCUCUCCCUUAUUCGAUCCUCUUCUCCUUUAGGUCCACCUCAUGGCUUUGUCUGAAUCCACCAUCUCCCUCCCAAGCCCCAACUCUUCUAUUUUAUCAAGCUUAUUGACUCCAACUAUCUUCUUUGGCUCCGCCAACUCAAACCCUUUUUAGUCGGCCAUGACCUCUGGAAAUUUAUCGAUGGCAUUCAUAAACAACCUUCUGCCCACACCUCCACCUCUACCACCGCAACACCCACAACCACCACCACUCUUACCCAAAUCAAUCAUGCCCAUGCUCAGUGGUACCAACAAGACCAACUCAUUGUUAGCUACAUCACCAAUACACUCUCUGAGUCCAUUCUCUUUCUCACUGUUGGUUGCACCUCUGCCCGGGAUCUCUGGGAGUGUCUCCAACGCCACUUCUCUCAAUCCAGUAUGGCCAGUGAAUCUACUCUUCGUUUUAAACUCAUGGAUUUGCAAAAAGGCUCUGAACCCACUUAUGCUUACAUUCGUCAUGCUAAGUCCUUUGCCGAUUCACUGGCUGCCAUCAAUGAACCUGUCUCCCCAAAAGAACUUGUCACUACUGUGCUUUGGGGUUUAAGACCCUAUUGCAACAUCCUCGUCACAGCAAUUCUCAAUUUCCCUCUGCUUCCUAACUUUGCUAAUCUUCGUGCUCGUUUGUUAGCAUUUGACGCACAGACUCCUUGAAUCUCUCCUGAUCAAAACACAGCGCAAAUGGCCACCCAAUCCUCUCCUCACACCACCGGUCAUACUUCCUUCCCUUCUCACCGUGGUGGUGGCUCUUCCAACAACAGGCGUGGUGGCCUCGGUGGCUGGCGCAAUAGCGGCCGGGGUGGCUGGCGCAGCUUCUCAUCUUCCUGGAGCAACCCGUGGAAUGGCUUCCAGCAGCUCCAAUGACCUAAUCAACCAUGGCCUCCUUUUGCUCCAAGUUCUGGAUCUCAAAGCAACUGGCCUUCCUUUCAGCCUCCUUGGGCCUAAUCUGCCGCUUCUAUCAAACACUUUGCCCGGCCCAACUCAGCUCCUGGUGUCUUGGGACCCGCUUGGUGCACUACCUGCAAUACCAAUCACAUACUACUACAAUAUGUCCUCAUCGCUACAAUGGCCCAGAAUCCUUUCUUUGCUAGGGCUCAAUUCAUGUAGCCACCUGACUCUACUUGGUACCCUGACACAAGUACCACUCAUCAUAUGAUUGGUAGUCCUUCUAAUCUCCAAAAUCAAUCCUUCUAAUCUCCAAAAUCAACAGCCAUAUCAGGUUCAUAAUUCUGUAUUUCUUGGUAAUGGAGAUUCUCUCCCUAUCUCUCAUACUAGCUCUCUCUUUUGUCUUCCAUCUCUUCGUACUAAUCUUCUUUUUGUUGCCCAUUUUACUUGUGAUAAUUUAGUUUUCUUUGUCUUUACUCUUGACUUUUAUCAAAUCUAUGACUUAUGUACUGGUUCGUUACUCUUUCAGGGCCCUUCUAAAGAUGGUCUUUACCCACUUUCCAUCUCCUCUCACUCAUCCAUAGUCCCCCAUGCCCUUACCACCGUGCACUCUCCUGCUUGGCAUCAUUGCCUUGGCCAUCCAUUCCAUCGUGUGCUCUCUCAUUUAGCGCCAUCUCUAGGCUUUAAAGUUUCUCAUGCUUUCUGUAAGGAUUGUGCACUUAGCAAAUCCACCAAACUGUCAUUUCUUAGUAAUAAAACCUUUGCCCCAUCUCCCUUUUAUUUAAUUCACUCUGAUGUAUGGAUGUCCUCGGUCAUUUCUGUCACUGGUUAUCGCUAUUAUGUCUUGUUUACAGAUGACUUUUCUCGUUACUCCUGGAUCUAUCAUAUGCACCGUAAAAAUGAGGUCUUUUCUCACUUUCAAACCUUUCUUGCUAUGGUUAAAAAUCAAUUUCACACCACUGUACAAAUUCUUUAAAGUGACAAUGGCACUGAAUAUGUUAAUAAUGCUUUCUCUGAUCUUUGCAGUCAACUAGGCAUCCACCAACGUUUCACAUGUCCCCACACUCCCCAACAAAAUGGCCUAGCUGAACAUAAACACAGACACAUUGCCACCAUGAUCUGUCCCCGGUCAUUUAUUCAACCAUCUUGACCUUUUGCUUGAUCAUUUUCCACAAGCAACCGUCCACGUACCCCAAUAAUUUAAAAGGGCUGAUGAUCUUUAAUUUGGUGAAAGCUUCUAUCUACCUACCGUGCUAUAUAUGAGCUAUGCAAUCGUGACCGUGUUACAUGACGUCCCAAUGUCGUAGGGAUAAAAAAAUAAUAGUCAUGGUUUUCUUAUUAAUGUCAAUACAUUCAUAGCAAAGAGCUUGUAGCUCUAGUGGUUAAGAGCAAUUACCCAUGCACUUGAGAUAUUUUGUGUUUAAAUCCCCUCUUCCCCAAUAUUUCUUGUAUAAAAAUAAAAAUAACAAUAAUAAUGACAUUAAUGUUGUAUUCUAUAAAGUGUUGGACAUGUUUUAUACCCCUUUCUUGCAAAUUACAGUUUGCCACGUGUACAAAAAUAAUAGAUAAGUGUUGGACAUCAAGAGCACUUACAUAUAGGUUUAAUAGGUAAGUUUUGAAUAUUUCUGUAUUUAGCUUUAAAUAUUGAAAAUCAACCUAUUAGCAUAUUAAAGAUUUGUCCAUAUUCGACGUACAUUCUCUUAUUUUUCUCUCAUUGAAGUAAAUACAAAACUAAGCACAUAGUGGGAAAGUGCGUCACGAUUAGGGGUGGGUUUAGUCUAGGUUGGUUCAUUUUUGGGCUCAAUUUGAACACCGAACUGUAAGCUUCGGUUUGGCUAUUUUGGAAACCGAAACCAAACCAUAAUUGAUGAAAACCGACCACUUCGAUUACCUUCUGGUCUUCCAACCAGAAGAAAACUCAAAACUUUAACCAUACCAAGUGCAACAGAAUUACACCAGGCUGGAUUCAAGUUUAUGAUGGUUAAAGAUAAAAACUUAUUUGACAUACAAUUUGAGAAUGGAAUCCUCAAAAUUCCACACCUGCGAAUACGGGGUUUAACAGAAAUUUUCUUCCGCAAUCUUAUUGCCUAUGAGCAGUGUGAGCUUCAUGAUCAUUACAUCAACGACUAUGUCUUCAUCAUGGACCGCCUGGUCGACAGUGCCAGGGAUGUGGAAUUGCUUGUGAAGAGUGGAAUUCUUGAAUCUAUGCUACCGGACAGCGAGGCAGCAGGGGAAUUUAUUAAUUCUCUUGACUUGGGGCCUAUUUUAGGCAAGCUUGAAACAAGACUAUUUCAGUUCACCAUGGGCUGGCCUGUCUAUUAUUGUAGCCGCUAUACUAGUUGUGCUCACAUUUAUUCAAACAGUGUGCUCCGUAAUGGCGCUGUAGGUUCUUCAUUUCCUCAAUUUCAUGUUUAGUGGUUGCAGAUUUGUUGCUCAUGUACGUGUUUAUCUAAAGUUAAAUAAGAGUGAUUGACUGGAUUGACUGUUAGUCUGUUAGUUUGUUUUUCUGGGGUUUUUCCCCCCUGUUCGUCAAAAAAAAAAAUAAAAGAGUGAUGGCUUGUGCCUAUGAAAAUUACUUAGGAGUAUGCUCCACAGAGCCAAAAUAAAUAAACUAGGGAAGUGGAGGUUCUUCUGUUUGUAUAUAAAUGAGCAAUUCAAACUCUCAGUGCCAAGGGAGUUACCCUUGAUACAUUUGUUAAAAAUUAUAUAUUUGGUCUUACAUCAAACAAAUAAUUUGAAGGGCUUUUUUGACAACUGCUGACAGCGUUUGGCAGAAAAGUUUAGAAGCGCUUCUACGCUUCUAGAUCAUAAAAGUGCUUUACCAAAAAGCACUUAGAUUUCUUAUGAAAAUUUCAACAUUUUUAUAAUAAAAGCGCUUGCUAGAAGCACUUAUAAGCAGAAGUGCUUCAUAGAGAAGCAGUCCCAAACGAGCUUGAUUUUCAAAUGUGCUGCUUAAGAAGAAAUUUAAUACGUUUUGAAAACAAAAAAAAAUACGAAAUUUAAUACGUUUGUUUUACAAAUUGUAUUAAUUGUUAUCAAUAAUACUUGUGCACACCCACAACAUACUUCUUUCUUUCUUUAUUUUCCUUCAGUACAGUUCUGCCUUUCUUUAAUUAUUUUUAACGAAUGCAAAGAGUUUGUCACAAAAUCAAGGAUUGAAAAAAAAAGAGAGUAAAUUAUGUGCUAGAGAAACUUUCCUGCAGAAAUUGAAGAACAACUCUAGUUUCUCUCUUUCGCCUUGUACUCCCGCACUGAGGUUAGUAUUGUUAUAAUGUGCAGAUUAUACGGUCACUCUUGUAUAAUGGCGAGAAGGCUCUAAUUAUAUUUUUGAACCUCUUUGACAGGACCCGCCCCGAAUUUCCCGAAACCCAAGACGAAUUCUGUGGAAAUUCCCUACAUCACCCCGAUGUUGGGCCCACUUCUAAAACUAUAUCAUUUUUCCUAAAAAGGAAUAAGGGCACGAGACUUUCUACCGAAAUUUCGGCAGAGUCUCUCCUGUAAAUUGAACAUUUCCCAAAAUUUCAACCUGCAUAAAACACAUUUUAUAUUACCCAACUGGCAGCAUGCACAAAAUAAUAACAUGCAAUUCACAUAAACGGCCUCUGGCCCUCCGGUAAUUCAGAGCAAUGCAAACUAGCAACUCUAAACCUAAUAAAACAACAUAAGUAACAUUUAGCCAGCGGCUGCACCCAGGCACUACCCUAGGCUACCUACGUACCCUUACUAAGGGAUCAAGCCACACGUAGUUCUUUCAUACAAAAUUUCCAAAUCCAUCAACAUGCAAUCAAUUACAGAAUCCCAAACAAAAUCUUUCUCAAACAUCAUUAGUUCCCAACUCAGUAUAAUAAUCCUUAAUUCAUCUCUGUAAUAAUCACAAUAUCUCCCCAUACGCCGGAACUACCAACACCACGUAUGGAGCCUGCCUGUACGCCAGAUAACCAACGACACGUGGGACCUCAUCAUCAUAUCACAUAAUCUCCCCAUACGCCGAAACUACCAACACCACGUAUGGGGUCUGUCAACACGCCGGAUAACCUACGACGUGUGACCUCAACAUCAAAUCACAAUAUCUCCCCAUACACCGGAACUACCUACGCCACGUAUGGGGUCUGUCCACAUGCCGGAUAACCUACGACACGUGGGACCUCAUCAUCAUAUCACAUAAUAUAUUAACGAUCAAGAAAUAUCACUACGGUCAUUUAAUCCUCCUGGGAAGGUAAAACUAUCUCAGGAGACUCACGGUCAACCAAGGGUCAAACUACCUCAUACUUGGACAAACGAGCCCACGGAGCCCACAACCUCCGUUUUACUAUCCAAGAGUUCCUAUAGGUUCUACAAGGUUUAGGAUACACGGCUUGCAAGUUUGGUCAAGAUCAGACGGUCGGAUCGCUCACGAUAGGACGGUUACUGCAAACCUAGCCCUAGGGUUGGCAUUUUCGGAGUAUCCGAAACUCCGUUUUACGAUCUGUCGAAUCAUAGACGAUCCUAAGGAUUUGCAGACUAACUAUAAUAAAUUCAAGACCAUCCAACGGUCUAAACCUAUCGAACCCGGAUAACGCGCAAUAGGCAAUAUCCAAAUUGAAAUCCGAGCACACCUACGCACUCGUGAGGACUAGGAGAUUACAUCGGGACAUAGUGCCCUUUUUCUACAGUGCCCAUGAGCCGCCGCACGCACCAGCAACGCGUGGGUGCCCAAAGCGAUUAUGCAUCGCCAAAAAAUCUCAAAACCACGGCUCAAGACUCCUACCCUAGGUAUAACACCCUAUUUGGAACCACUUUUGUUCUUGGACCUACCCCAAAAACUGAUCAGAAGUGGCCGGAAUGGCUGAAAUGUAAUUCAAAAAUCAAGCUACCAACGCUCAAAAUCGAUGCAAUCCUACCCAACCAUCAACUAGAUUAUGAAGAAUGGAUAAAUUUCCAUACCUUGAUCGCCAACAAUGGCGGCCGGAGGAGAGAGAUCUGAUCCGGCGAAGUUCGAGUGAAAACGGCCAAAAAUCAUCUUUUUCAGGCGGCUGGAGGGCGACCGAUGUCAGGGAAGGGCAGGGUCGUGACGCUAAGGCUGAGCCUGUCCUUUUGGCACCGGUCCCUUCCGCAGCCGUGUCCGGUGGCUGGAGUUUCGAAGAGAGAGAGAGAGAGAGAGAGAGAGAGAGAGAGAGAAAUCUGAUUUUUAUCAAACCUUUUUGCCAAAAUUACGGUUAUGCCACUGAGGGUAUUUUGAUAGUAUCUCUCUCGUUACAACUUCGAUUCGAGCCCACCACGUGUGUACGGACUCAUCUAACUGUGUUGUACGCAACGGUAUAGUCGAAAUUCCCAAAUUAUUUCCUUGUCAAAAAGUCAACUUUAAACAUUAUAAAAUAUUUUAGGGAAAAAAUGGUAUUUUCUCUCAAUAAAUUAGUAACUAAUUUAUUUAGGACUGGGUCAUUAUACUCUUUUUCGCUUCAAUGGAUGGGAAAAAAUUUUAUGUAAUAUCCCACAUCGACCAACGAAGAGGGGGCGAUGUGUCUUAUAUGUACAUGCCCGCCUCCAUCUAGCAUAAGGCCUUUUGGAAGCUCACUGGCUUCAGAGUCAUGGGAACUCCGAAGUUAAGCGAGUUGGGGGCUAGAGCAAUCCCAGGAUGAGUAACCCACUGGGAAGUUGCUCGUGAGCUUCGAGAAACAAAACCGUGAGGGCAGAGAGAGGGGCCCAAAGCGGACAAUAAGGCCUCGUGCUAGAUGGAGGCGGGCAUGUACAUAUAAGGCACAUCACUCUCUCUCCGUUGGUCGAUGUGGAAUGUUAGAAUGGAAUUGUUACCUUUGGUGUGGAGGUGUUCUAUCAUUUGAGCAAGAAAUUCCCACAUAUUCUUCAACUAUUUUUCAAGCAUGCAUAUUCCUCCCUAUCAAUCUUUGGUUUCUUCCUUUACUGUGCAUAGUAAGGAUCCAGUCAGGGACGGACCGUCGCUAUGACUAUCCUGGGCUAUAGCCCAGGCAAAUUAUUUUUUUUUCUAGUCUAAAAUAGCAAUCCCACCGCUUGCUGUAGUACUUGUUCAGUUCGUCACAAACAUGAGCAUAAUAGAAGUUAUCAACAUCUAUAUAGGAACCCCAAUGAAAAGGCUGUUAACUAAUAAUGAAGUUAACCCGUCAAUUUUUCCGCAUAUCAGAUAUCUCUCAGAAUAUGCGAUUCCAUAUUCAAUAAGCCACUCCACAUGCCCUGAGGUUUUCAUCAAACCACCCAUUAAGGAAACAUACUGACUCAUGUAAUUAUCAUUACUCAUCGGGUAAUGCAAUUGUUCAAAGGCAAGGACAUUUCUCAUUAUUUAUGUAGCGAACCCCAAUGGAAAUGGUGGGAUCUUCAGAACCCCAUCGGUGCUACUGAAUUGUAUGUCAAAUAUGUUUUCACCUUGUCACGCCUCAAACUUGACUCCAGCGUGCUGUAAUUCUGUCAAGCUGGGUAUGGAUGAUGGGAGUUUGAUGCAGGAGCAUAGGGGUGGAUCAAGAUAGAUAUUUACUAUUUAAUUAGUUAUUUCAUGAUAUAUUGUUAUUUUCUUAUUUAGGUAGUUUUAUGAUAUCUUUUAUUAUUUAUGUGUGAUUUUAUAAUUAAUUAGUAUACUUUUGGACCAAGUAGCCUUGGUGCUCAAGUCUUGUAAAGCCUAUAAAUAAGGCUAAUGUAAUAGUUGUAGAAUAGAUGUCGAUGAUUAAUAAAAUCGUUUAUUUGUGGCAUGGAUUUGCUACGAUAUAUGUGAGUUUGCACUAGCCCUAGAUUUCAGUGCUCGUGUAUGUGGUUGGUGACCUGUGUCCGGAUCCCGAUCCCCAUCAAUUGGUAUCAGAGCUAUGGCUCAAGAUCUGCUAUAUCGGGGAGGUUUUUGGAUGGAGGGUCGUUUUAACAACUACAACGACAUGGAGGAAAUUAGGAGGAUGCUACGGCAACUUAUGGAACACAUUGCUCGCAUUGAAGCUCGAACCCAGAUAGGUAAGAGUUCUGACGGGGAGGGAUGUGUGAACCCUUAUCUGAACCGAGUAGCUCGCAUCGACACUCUAAGCCGUGAGAGUCUCGACGGGGAGUACGAGGGAGAUAGCCCUUUUCAUUAUUGUGCUCCGCUGUGUGAGUCAAGUGAAGAGGGGCACGGUUAUUCUCAUUGUGUCUUUGAAGGUAUAAAUGAAUUUAGUAAUUUUGGUGCAUCUUGUUAUUCAUCAAAGUUAUUAAAUUUGGAUUUACCUCCAUUAUUUGAUCCUUGCAAUUGUGAAAAUUGCAAUAAAAAUUGUUUGGGUGUUCAAAGCAAUUUUGAUAAGCAAUUUAUUGACCAGAACAGUGAAGAGAUGAGAAUUGAGAAAACUUUCGAAGAUAUUAUUGAUUUUAUGGGCAUUAAUAUUUUCACUUGGAAGGUUGCCAAAAAUCUGGUUGAUUUUGUCAAUCGGUUGAAGAUUCUAGAGAGAAACAUUUGCAUUGCUAGAGGGAGUAAGAAGUCAAGAAUAACGAAAUAUUCCAAAUAUCUUUUUAUUUGGAAAGGAAGGUUUCAAUUGGAUGCUAAAAGAUCCAAAAUUAAUAUGCAGCAAUUGAAGAUUCUACUCGGAUUUUCCUUAAUCAAAGGCUUGAAUUCGAGGACGAAUUCUUUCCAACUAUGGGAGUCUGAUGCAGGAGCAUAGGGGUGGAUCAAGAUAGAUAUUUACUAUUUAAUUUGUUAUUUCAUGAUAUAUUGUUAUUUUCUUAUUUAGGUAGUUUUAUGAUAUCUUUUAUUAUUUAUGUGUGAUUUUAUAAUUAAUUAGUUUACUUUUGGACCAAGUAGCCUUGGUGCUCAAGUCUUGUAAAGCCUAUAAAUAAGGCUAAUGUAAUAGUUGUAGAAUAGAUGUCGAUGAUUAAUAAAAUCGUUUAUUUGUGGCAUGGAUUUGCUACAAUAUAUGUGAGUUUGCACUAACCCUUGAUUUCGGUGCUCGUGUAUGUGGUUGGUGACCUGUGUCCGGAUCCCGAUCCCCAUCAGAGUUCCCCUCCAGCUUUUGAUUCCAACGGUUGAUAGAGUUUAAAUAUUUUCCUGAAAAGAUCAAUAAUAUGUGCCACUGAUCUAAAAGUCUCCAAAUUGUCUUCCAAUUUGUCAACAGGCAAUAGAUGUUCGAAGAAACUGAAAGAAAUACAAAUUAUUGAAAGCCCCUCAGUAAUGCUGUUAUUGUCAGCAUUAGCAGGGAGUGUAAUUUUCUGUGGGUCGAAAAGAUCCUCGAGAAUGAAGAAUGGCAACUGAUUUUCAAGCAACCACGUAUCUGUCCAUGCAUCUUGCAACAUACCUGGUUUGUCAAAUAUGCGGUCAUUUUCGUCCCAAAAUUUGAAGUAGUCCUUCAAUAAGGGCUCAAUAACGAAGGCGGCGCCCACUAGAAUGAUUGUUACAAAUUCAUCACUGCUAAACUUGAUGGGUUCUCCAUAACAACGUCUCAAUCUUGCUUCGUGGUCCUUUAUUUUCUUAAUAUAAUCCUCCAAACUCACAUUGGUCCGACCUAUAAAAUCUUGCAGGUAUCUCUGUUUGUUCUCUUCCAAUACGACAUUCAAGCCUUCCUUUCCAUGGUGAAGUGGACCUAUAGAGACCGACUGCCUGAGGUGUGCAGAGCUUUUCAUUCACACAUACGUAGAUAAAAUGUCUGGGGGCUCAGAGAGUGAUGAAUGUGCAACAGCUAAUGGGAGGGUUUAUAUUCCUGAAGUAAGAAAUGAGGAAACACCAGCAGUUGGGAUGAAGUUUGACUCGCUUGACCUCGUUUACAAUUUCUAUAAUAGAUAUGCAUUCUUGGCUGGCUUUGGUAUUCGACUUCAUUCUAGCUUUUGGGGGAAAAAUAAGAAAGAGAUUUUGAGGAAAGAAUUUGUAUGUUGCAAACAAGGUGCAUACAAGAAGGAUGAAACUCGGGAGAGAAAAAGACAACGGGGAAUAAGUAGAUGCAAUUGCAAAGCAAAGAUUGUGGUUGUGAAGACAAAUGGGAGCAAGAAGUAUACCAUUUCUCUUUUUGCAGAGGGACACAAUCAUAAGAUGACACCCUCAGAAAGAAUGCAUUUAUUGAGAUCACACCGUCAUAUUUCAGAUUCUACAAAAGUACUCACAAAACAGUUGGGUUCAGUUAAUAUUCCCAUUCAUCAGAAGGUAAGUAUAUUCGAGGUGCAAUCCGGAGGAAUGGAUAAAAUCGGUUUUAUCAAAAAAGAUAUCUACAAUCUUGAAUGUAGUGUGAAUGGGAAGCUGAGGAACCACGAUGUUGAACUAGUGACCGAGUAUUUUAUGGCUGAACAGAAAAAAAAUGAGGCUUUUUAUUUCAAGAUUGAGGGAGAUGGGCAUGACAGGUUUAGUCGAUGUUUUUGGGCAGAUGCAACUUCUAGACGGGCGUAUGGGUUUUAUGGAGAUGUUGUUGUAUUCGAUACCACAUUCAACACGAAUCGAUACGACUUGACAUUUGCACCAAUGUUGGGAGUUAAUAACCAUGGUCAGACAAUUGUCUUAGCAUGCGCAUUUUUGAGCAAGGAAACGACUGAGUCGUUUGUUUGGAUGUUUGAGGAGUUUAAGAAAGCCAUGCCAGGUGGGGAACCUAAAACGAUCAUUACAGAUCAAGAUGCGGCAAUGGCCAUAGCGAUUUCAAUAGCCUUCCCGAGUACAUUUCAUCGACUUUGCAUAUGGCACAUCACAUCAAAGUUCUCUGUUAAGUUACCACGUGACGCUUAUAAGGAGUAUUGGCCUGAAUUUCAGAAAGCCAUAUGGGAUACUGACAAUAAGGAUGAGUUUGAUGCAAAAUGGAAUAUUGUGGUUAUAAAGGCUGGUUUGACUGACCAUCCAUGGCUAAGUUCAAUGUUUGAUUUAAGGGAAUCUUGGGUUCCAGCCUACGCACGACAAUUUUUUGCCGCUGGAAUGUCAAGCAGCCAAAGAGCGGAAGGUUCUCAUGGUUUUUUCAAGCAAUACAUAUCAAGGAGAAAUUCGUUGAUGGAUUUCAUAAUACGAUUUGAGAGGGCAUUUUCUCAUCAACGUGAAAAAGAGUUAGUUGCUGAUCACGUAGAUGCAUUUGAAGUGGCUCAAUGUCUUCUACCGAUGCCAAUGAACAAACAAAUGGCUACCUUGUACACAAGGACAAUGUUUCAAAAGUUUGAGCAAGAACUAAUACAAAGUACAGCAUGUUUCCUAGAGCUCAAAACAGAGGAUGCAUGUAAAGUUGUGUUCAACGUGAGCGAAAGGAAAAAUUGGGAAACAAGAGUGGCAGAAGUCGUAUAUGUCAAAGAUUCUGACCACGCAUCGUGUAGCUGCAAAAGAUUUGAAUUUGUUGGAAUUAUUUGCAAGCACAUCCUAGCAUUGUUCAGAAGGGACCAGAUUGAAUAUAUGCCCGAUAAAUAUAUUUUGAAGAGGUGGAAGAAAACUGCGAAAUGUGGAUUGGUGUCAGAUGCAAAUGGCAACGAAAUUAAAGACUGUGCAGAUCCUGGCCUUCUAAUAAAGCGGAGUACAAUGUCUCGACUUGCUUCAAAUGUGGUUGAGGAUGCAUUAAUGAGUGAAGAAGGAUGUGAGCUACUGUCAGAGACUCUAAAAAGUUUGCAGGUGAAGUUGAAGUUGCUGAAGGAUGGACCAAGUAAUAACGAAGUUGGAGGGUCCAGCUCUCAAACACAAUAUAUGAAAGACCCUAAGAGAGUGAGGUGCAAAGGAAGGUCGAAAGGAAUAACGGGAGCAAAGGAAAAGGCAAUGAAGCGAGGGAUUAGACACUGUCGGGAGUGUGGACACAUUGGUCAUGAUAGAAGACAAUGCCCAGCCUUGAACACACCGUAAGAUGCUACCACUAUUUGUAAUAAUAUCUAAAAUAUGAAAAGGUAAAAUUUUUAUGUGCUUGUGUUUGAUGUUUAUGCAGGACAUCACCGUCGAACAAUGACAAAUCAACUCCAAUACAUCGUAGUGACCCAUUAUUCGACGAUUUUGACAAGAUGCACAGACCAACUGAAUGAUUGAUAUUUGUAUUAGACGAAAUGUGGUUGUUAUGAAGAUUAAUGAUCAAGUGAAGUUUUAUAGAUUCAGUUUUUGAAUGUUAUUGUGUUUUUGUUCAUGUCCACCGAUGAGCUCUUACUAUGUCCACUGGUAAUUGAAAUGAAAAUUUUCUUGGUUUCAUUCUUCCAAGACAUUUGGAGACAUGUUAAUUUUACGUCUUCUCCCUAUUUAUAAAUUUUCAUAGACAUUUGAUCAAGUUUGAAAUUUGUAGUUAUGUGAAGAAGCAAUGACUCUUACCAUGUAAAAUGGGCAGUUUAGGGUGAAAUUUGUUUUAACAGAGAUUCAUUUUUCAAUUCCUCAGGGUAAUGCAGCAAUUACAGCAGCCAGCUGUUGUUUCCAUUACCAGUAAUCAUUUCCAGCAGCAGCCACUUUUUCCGACUGGUUAUUAGGGGCACGAUUUUGUACACUUUUGUAAGUGAAGGAUACUCGAAGCACUUUGUUGGAACAGAGCAAAUAGAAACCAGCGGGUAAAAAAAAAACAUAACAUUGCAGCUAAUUACAUUUCGAUACAUAGGUGAAAAAUAUUAAAGGGUACACUAACUUACAUAAAUACUCAUAAUUCCACACACAAAAGAACAUUUGAUUGCAAAACAUAUUAUGUGCUUCCUCAUAGCAAUACCACGAUCUCCCCAACCAACUGAACAACGGUAGCCACAAUCACUGGGUCGUACUCGUCAGCUUCUUCUUAGCAGGUCUCACAUGCUUAUGGCCACUCAUAUCCCUAGUGAUAUACACGAAAUAAAUCUUCAGCAAUAUUUGGAAUUUUAUUAUAUAUAAAUAAACCAUAAACCAUUCAGUAAACAAUGUAUAGCACAUGUUAUGUAACUUAUGACUCACGUGUCAGUUUUUUUUUUAACACAUUAGUACUCCAGCUCUUUAAUGUAAAUGGACAUGAUAAGGAGCAUUUACUGAUUCCCGGCUUUCUAUGAUAUUGACUGCUUCUUGAAUAAUAUUUCCAUAUUUGCAAAAUAUAAUGUUAGACAUUAUAACACAUGAUGACUUGCAAUACAUAGUCCCAAUAAUUAUAUAUCAAGCAAAUGAAACUGAUAUUUGUGUUAUUUUAAGUUAGAUAAUGACAUUAAGGGAGUAUAUGUGCAAUACCACGGUCACCCUCAACCAACUGAACAGCGGUAGCCGCAAUCACUUAGUCGUAUCGGUCGGCUUCUUCCGAGCAGCUUUGACGUGCUUAUGCUCAUUCAUGUCACCCCCAUCGUCUAGUAUCUCUCUCACAGCAUCAGGGGACACAUAGUUCCAAUCAUAACUUGUAUGAGUAGUUGCCGCAAAUGCUCGGAAUUUGUCGAAUCCUUCGUUGAAUGCCAACUCCAGUUCAGUAUGGUGCUCUUCGCAUCGCAUAUGGUUCAUCAAACAACCUUUGAUUUCAUCAUUCAUUACUGUAUCCAACUCCUCAGCUUUCAGCUUCCUGCUAUGACUCAGCUUCAAGUACUUGUUCUUUUGGGAUAACGCUUUGUUCACCCUAAUGUUAAGAUCAGCCAAAAUUGCCUCGUCUUCAACACAUUUCUCGUGCCAUGAAUUGAUCAGUCUGGAAUUAUAAUCCAGCUUGCCACUGACUGCAUGUAUUGCCUGUAAUGGAUCAUCGGAGUCCCCCUCACUCCCAAAUGAUGUUGAAAAAGGAAGGGGUCGGCGAGUACAAUGUGGAAAUAGAACCUGCCACUCCAAUUUGUCAUCUUCGAUUGUGUUGUUGGCGCCUGAAGAGGUUGACAUGCUUGAAUAAUCCUCUUUGUUUUGGGAGGAUGAGGAUUGCAUAUGCAAUUUCGUUUGAGAAAGGGAACAUAGGUUUAUAGACCAACAUACCAAAGCUUGUGUGUAGUCAACAUAUGUACUUUUUGGCGGGAAUUUUUUAAAAAUAGGUGUUAGGUUUUGCUUUUCAAGCAUGUCAACCUCACACUCUCCUGACACCACUGCUAGUGGUUGAAACAAAGUCAAUGGAAGUGACAUCUACUUAGUUAACUCAACCAAACUAGUUAGGAUUAAACUUAGAUUGUAUCAGACCAAAAAAUAAUUUCUACUUUGUCAACCAAAUAUUUUUUGGCGGGAACCCUUUUCUUGGUAUUACUAUCACCCCUUUCAUAUAAAAUCUCCUUCCACACAAAACUCACUCCUCCACCGAAUCUGUCUCCAUCUACCGAUACUCUCUCAAGCAAACAAACUCAUUCCCCCCAAAGAAUGAGCAUAAGCACAACCAAGUUUGAUGUGAGCAUAAUAAACACCCCUCCAAACAAAGACCGGCUUCGACACGCAAGUGAGUCACCGGACAAGCAAUGUCACAUUGCUAGACAGAAUGACCAUUUUGUUGGAAGUUUUGAGUCUGAAAGAGUUGUUGCUUUUUGGAAGGAGAGGCAUCUUCAACUUGGUGAUGAAAUCCAAAGGGCAAGGGCACGUUUGGAAUUUGUGGAAGGCCAAAUUGAAGAUGACAAAAGGCAGGCCAAUCUGGAUAGGGCGAAGUUGUAGCGCAUGAAGCGUAGACACAAACGACUUCGGAGUGUAGCUGUUCAAAAAUACAAGAACUCAUCUAAUGUAGUGGAGUCAAAGAAGCGUGUGAUGCAAGCUGGAUUCGACUACUUCCGAUCCUAUGCAAAACUCGUCGUACCCGGGUUUGAUUGGUCAUCUAUUACCGUUUCCGACGUCACCAAAUAUACUCAGCAAGGGAAGUAACCAUUUUGGUUCUCGUGUUUUAGCAGAGGCAAAUAAGUGGAAUUGGAAUUUUGGUUACACUCUGCUUCAAAGCUAUUUUGAUGCUAACUACUAUGGAAGAUUUAAACCUUAAUAUUUUGAUGUCUUUAAUUACGAAAACAGAAGAUGCAAAGAGCUCAUCUACUUCAGCCAUAUGUUGCUGCCAUGUCCAUUUGUUUUUGAUCACUUAUCAGAUUUGGACAUGGUUGCAUCAUAUGCAAUGUUGCCUUUAUUUAUUAUAUGUUAGGACAAGGUUUAUGGAAAAGCUUUUGUGAGUGCGUUUGUGACAAGGUUAUGGAAUUAUUAUGUACACUUUAUAUAUUGUUUUUUGUACUGGUUCAUUUCCUACUAUUUCUUGCUUUCUUUAUAUUUUAUGUUUGUGGAAUCCCUCUCAAAGUUAACAUAUACUGUGAAAAAAAUAUUAUGCAACUGAUUAUAUAAUCACUCAUAUAGACUAGGACAAAUAUUCACUAAGGGUUUUAAACUUGCUUCACUUGUGUGAUGUUAUUGACAAAAAGUAUGGCAUUAUUUAUGUGAUUUGACAUGAUUGAAAAUAUAUUACUGAUUCCCAAUGCGGCGUCAUAUGGACAACGUAUUGAAUACCUGUGACGUGUUAAUAACUCAAGGUGCAGUUGCAUGUGGACAACUUCUUGAAUACCUCUGACGUGUUGAAAACUCUAGGUGCAGUUGCAUGUGGACAACUUAUUGAAUACGAACUGACGUCUUCAAAGCUCUAGGCGUAGUUGCAAUGAUGGCUUCAAAGCAUGUGCAAUUAUUUUUUAUGUACAUUAUUAUAACAAAACAUAUUAUUGUAUAUAGUGAAACUAAAUAUUGUAUUAUUAGAAAUUAUAUUUCGAAUAUUAUCCGAAAUAUACGUGUUAACGUGAAUUUGGGUUAAGAGGAAAGUGAGUUAUGUACAAAUAAUUUUCAUUUUCUCAUUUUCCGGGCAUUUUUUGGAUUUUCGUAGAAUUUAUUACCUAUGUCCACAGAUUGUUGCACUAAAAAAGCCAAAAUAAUAGCAAGAGGACACCUGGAGCGAUCUCAGCCCGUCACUGAUGACUACUUGCACAAGUGUACGUCAGUCAACAUGGCCACACCCUCCCAUUUUACCCUAAAUUAUUAUUUUAUUACUUUUCCUUACAAAAAUCAGAACUAAUUACACACAAAAUAAAAAAAUUAUCCGAAAAUUGCUACGAACUCAUUGACACUCCAUCUCCGUUGCUGAAUUCUCCGAUUCAUUGUUACGUAUUUGUAAAAUUAAUUCCCAACAUUAACGGGAGAUGCUUGUUGAAGUAGGUUAUUCAAGUUGAAGUUAACAAACAUCAAUACUUAGGGUUAAGAGGAAAGUGAGUUAUGUAACACAAUUUGGAUUAUUUCAUUGCGAGACGAAUGAUUUAUAGGUUCUCCUAGUUUUAUGACGUCACAAGUAGGCCGGAGUAAUUUUUGGGGCAUUUUUACGAUUUUCCUACUAUUUUUUACCUAGUUUCAAAGAUUUUUGAACAAAAGAAUCCAAAAUGUAAAAGAAGAUGACACCUGGCGCGAUCUCAGCCCGUCACUUUUCACUACUUGCACAAGUGUACGUCAGUCAACAUGGCCACAUCCUCUCAUUUUACCCUAAAUUAUUAUUUUAUUACGUUUUGUCUUGGAAAAUUCAUAACUAAAUACACAAAAAUUCAAAAUUAUUUCUGAAAAUUGCUACGAACUCAUUGACACUCCAUCUCCGUUGCUGAAUUCUCCGAUUCAUUGUUACGCAUUUUUAAAAUUAAUUCCCAACAUUAACGGGAGAUGCUUGUUGAAGUAGGUUAUUCAAGUUGAAGUUAACAAACAUCAAUACUUAGGGUUAAGAGGAAAGUGAGUUAUGUAACACAAUUUGGAUUAUUUCAUUGUGAGACGAAUGAUUUAUAGGUUCUCCUAGUUUUAUGACGUCACAAGUAGGCCGGAGUAAUUUUUGGGCCAUUUUUACGAUUUUCCUACUAUUUAUUACCUAGUUUCAAAGAUUUUUGAACAAAAGAAUCCAAAAUUAACAAGAAUAUGACACCUGGCGCGAUCUCAGCCAGUCACUUUUGACUACUUGCACAAGUGUACGUUACCGAACAUGGCCACAUCCUCCCAUUUUACCCUAAAUUAUUAUUUUAUUACCUUUUUUCUUGGAAAAUUCAUAACUAAAUACACAAAAAUUAGAAAAACGAUCCGAAAAUUUCUACGAACUUAUUGCGAUUUCAUCUUCCUACUGCAUUCCCUGUUUAAUGGUUAUGCUACAUUAGUAUUUUAUUAUUAUUUAUCCACAAUUAUUAUAAUUAUUAUGAUAUUACUUUUUAGGCUGUCCAUUUGUUAAUUAUACCACAUCCAACUUGUUGAAAACAAUUUUAUUUUCCGUGCGAAUAGGCCAUUUGUAGUGCUUAUCGGUUUCUCUGUUCUUCAAUUUGUUAAUUUUUUUAUUUUUUAGGUUGAAGGGAUGUUUUGAAACAUAAUAUGGAAAUAUACAAGUCAUCCAUUGUACUCCUUCCACACAAAAAAAUAGUCUACGUCAUUCACUGUUCAACACCCUAGGUUAAGACACGUGUAACCAAAUCCGUUCGGAUAUGCUAAGUGGGAAAAUGUCAUUCCCAAGCACUGGUGAAAAGACACUUAUUUACUCCAUGCAUGACUUUUGGUUUACCAAAUAUGAAGAUUGGGGUCGGUGAGCAAAAUAUCUGUGUCAGUAAAAUGUCAUUCCUAGCCAUCUAUGAUGUAAGUAAUAAUUCCGCUAUAUAAUAAAUAUUAUACAUUUAUAUAUAAAACGGUUUAUGACAAAAUACCAACAUUUGAACAACAUUUAAACUGAGAUAGGUAUAACGUAGCCAGCCAACCUAGAAGUGAAGAGAAGCAAGUCCACAAUGCAUCAAAACUGUAAAUUCGUACUAAAACUAAUGCAAAAAUACGUGAUUCCCUCGCACAACUUACUCACGCAGGAUUUUGCACCAAAAAAUACUCUCACGGUGCCAUUUGCAUCGGUUGCAGCAAGUCCAAAACGCAGGAUUUAUCUUGUCUUCACUAGGCCACCCUGGAAUAACAAAAUACCAUUCAUUGUUGUUACAAGCGCUGCACCGAUUGAACUUAAUCUUCCCAUAGUCAAACAUAUCUACGAUAUGUCUUGCAACAAAUGCUCCGCGACAUCUUCCUGUUAAAGCAUCCCUGGUUCCUUUCAUAUCAAUGUUGUUACGUUGAUUCAAAGAACACAAGAAUUGUAAUGCAUCCUCUUUUGACUGACCAAUUCCGGACAUACCAAGUAGUCCAACUACAUAUGCCGCUUCCAUAUGGCCUGCCGUGGCUGCAAUGCGCAUCCCAUACAACGCUUCCACCUUACCGUCUGUGAAAAAACCUUCGAAUGCUUCUCUAAAUAUGGACUCAGGGUUAUCGCAAGCCCUGCAUUGUUGCAAGAAAUGCUGGACUGCAGGUUUGGCACGGUAGCAGAUAGGAUGGUGUGGGUACUUUGCCAUUGAAAUGGUGUUCCACACUUGUGGACUGUUUGCCAAAAUGUUGAACAAUCGGCACACACAUGCCAUACGGAAGAGAUCUUCCGAUGAUUCGGUUGCCACGUAUAACAUCACUUGAAACCAAGCGGACUCCGGGAUAAAGGCUUCGGGCAUAUCGAAAUGGAGAUGCUUCCUUCUCUUUCCUCCGACUGUAGUGAAGUGUUUCGAAUUCAUUGAAAAGUUUUUGGAAUGGAACGAUUUGAGGAGUGGCAGAGGGGAUAAAUGAUAAUAUUUGGGGUACACGUUCUACUUCCGAGCCUCUGUUUAUAGUGUUUUGAAAAGGUGUUUCCAGUUGGGGUUUUUCCAAGUUGACCCUUUUGAAAGAAACUGAAUCCAAGUGAAUUAAAACUUAAGACAAAAGAAGGGAAAACGUCAUAACGGUGCAUACAGAGUCAGACAGUUAAAAAGUUAAUUAAAUGGCUAUUUGCAUAGCCAUUUUUGGGUUUAUCCCACUAUCAAAUUCAUUGAUACAAAUGUGAUGGAUUACUGACUAGUGACAGAAGGUCCCAUCAUAUACUUUUUCAUUUUCGCACACCCAACUAUCCCUAGUAAUGUUAUUAAAAUGGAACCAAUAAUGACGGAUUCUUAUCCAACUAGUUGCCUUAAUGAAAUAUAAAUAAAUUAAUAAAAUUGAAGCAGUGUCCCGUCAUUAGUCAGAAAAUAUAUUUGGUAGUGAAGUAGUUUCUAUUGCUUUUCGGGCUAAAAGAUGUCACAAUGCUGACGGUACAGGUGUCGACAUCGUGACCAACCCACCAAAUGAUCCCAAAAAAAAGUAAUAUAACUCGAUUUGGGCAGAGAUGAGAGAGAGCUGAGUGACAAGUUUAGGGUUAUGAGUGAAGGGGUAUGAAUGACAACUAUGAGUGAGAAGGUAUGAGUCCGAAGAGGUUUCAGUGAGAAGAUUUGAGUGAGAAGAGGUACAACUGAGAAGAUUCAACAUGUCUUCGUCUUCAUCUCCUGCUCAAACAAAGAGGUGUCAGUAUUGUGGAGCUACAAUGGUGCUUCGGGUUUCAAAAUCUGAAAAAAAAUCGAGGGAAGCCAUUCUGGAAGUGUCUAACCUCCUAUGUAAGUUUUAAUUUAAAGAAUAUGUAUGUGGGUGAAAAAAAACCUAUGUCUAACUCUGACAGAAUUAUAUUCCAUAUAUGAUGCCUGCAAUUAGGGAGCCACCAGUUGCAAUGGAUUCGAAUGGGUUGAUGUAACCUCCGCUGAAGCAGAACAUCAAGAUGACACGUAUGAUGUUAGAGUGCUGAACAUGCUGAAGUCCAUUAAGGACUUGGUAUUAGUUUUAUUAGUUGUAUUAAUUGUCAUUUUAUUUGUUCUUUUAAUGAUCAUUUAACUGCACGGUUUAAAAGAUUGUGAAAGUUCUCUCGCACAAGACAUAUUGCACGCACCACCAAUGAGACCCUAAACCCAUUUUGUAAUAUUUGGUAACUGCAUGUAUUUCGCAUGUUAUUGAAUGUUUAUUGAAGGUUUAUUGAUAGUUUGCUGCAUGUAUAUGGAAUAUCAUUGCCCCAAAAUUGGAUGUUUAUUGGGGCCACAAGUAUCACUCAAGUAAGAAUGAAGGGGAGAAACGGACCUUAUUCUUUCUUAUAGUAGGAAGAACAACUGUUAAGUUUAAUAUCCUAUUCAAUACGACUUCCCUAUGGUUGGUGUACUUGGGGACUGAAGUAUAUUGCAUCAUUAUUGUGGGCAAGGGCAUGUCUAUUGUGUGUGUUAAGGGAGUAUUGUGUGGGCAAGGGCAUGUCUACUGUGUGUAUAUUGCAUGUCUACUGUGUGUAUAUUGCAUAUCUAUUCUCUGUAUAUGGCAGGCCAAGUUUGUGUAUAUUGUUUGUCUGUUGUGUGUGUAUUGCUUGUCGGUGCGUUUGUGAAUUGUGGUUCAUUUUGUGUAUAUUGUCUUUGUUUCUACUUUUAUGCUACUGAGCUGCGGAAAACCUCGCAUGUUUAGACACCUAUUAUGAUGCAACACAUUGCGAUUAAUGGUGGCUUGCAUCAACAAUGACAUAUCACUUUGCAAUGAUGUAAUACACUUAAAAAGCCGUCUUCAAAUCCCAAUUCACAUAUGCAGUCUUAAAAUUCUAAUUCAAUGCAGUUUGGUUAACAAACAUGUAAAUGUCAUGAAGGAGUUAGCGGUAGAAUUCGAUAAGGACCCGUACGUCUCUAUUGUGUAUUUACAUUAGUUUGAGAAUGGACAUUCCCAAAACCUUCUCAUGUACCAUUUGUCAUCUUCAACCAAUAUCAUGGGAAGUAAGCAUCUCCCCUUGUUAUCUCCGCAGCCAAUUUCAACCGAAAAAAAGGCAUGUUGUGCGAGGUGCAAGUAGCUAACGGAAGCUUAGCGCUGAAAAGCUCAAUGUACUUUAACACAAACAUGCCACAAUCGCCUCUGAAGCAAAACAAGAACUCGAUCAAUUCAACUAAUGACAUUCUAAUGUAAUUGACAAUUGAAAGUAAUAAAAUUAAAUUGCAAGUUGUGCUUACUCAUUAGACUGUUGUGGAACAUCCACACGCUCUAUUGGCCACGGACACCACCAAUCUCGGCUGCAAUUGUUUGCAUAAACACCUUCUUCAUAAAAGUCGAUGGUGUUGAGAAGAUUUGGAAGCGUAAUUGAUAGCGGGCCGAGUUCUUCCUUUACGAUGUCAUCUGGAAUUAGUGAAACCUUUGAAUCGUACACUUUGAUUCACACAAUACCAGAUCAAACANNNNNNNNNNNNNNNNNNNNNNNNNNNNNNNNNNNNNNNNNNNNNNNNNNNNNNNNNNNNNNNNNNNNNNNNNNNNNNNNNNNNNNNNNNNNNNNNNNNNNNNNNNNNNNNNNNNNNNNNNNNNNNNNNNNNNNNNNNNNNNNNNNNNNNNNNNNNNNNNNNNNNNNNNNNNNNNNNNNNNNNNNNNNNNNNNNNNNNNNNNNNNNNNNNNNNNNNNNNNNNNNNNNNNNNNNNNNNNNNNNNNNNNNNNNNNNNNNNNNNNNNNNNNNNNNNNNNNNNNNNNNNNNNNNNNNNNNNNNNNNNNNNNNNNNNNNNNNNNNNNNNNNNNNNNNNNNNNNNNNNNNNNNNNNNNNNNNNNNNNNNNNNNNNNNNNNNNNNNNNNNNNNNNNNNNNNNNNNNNNNNNNNNNNNNNNNNNNNNNNNNNNNNNNNNNNNNNNNNNNNNNNNNNNNNNNNNNNNNNNNNNNNNNNNNNNNNNNNNNNNNNNNNNNNNNNNNNNNNNNNNNNNNNNNNNNNNNNNNNNNNNNNNNNNNNNNNNNNNNNNNNNNNNNNNNNNNNNNNNNNNNNNNNNNNNNNNNNNNNNNNNNNNNNNNNNNNNNNNNNNNNNNNNNNNNNNNNNNNNNNNNNNNNNNNNNNNNNNNNNNNNNNNNNNNNNNNNNNNNNNNNNNNNNNNNNNNNNNNNNNNNNNNNNNNNNNNNNNNNNNNNNNNNNNNNNNNNNNNNNNNNNNNNNNNNNNNNNNNNNNNNNNNNNNNNNNNNNNNNNNNNNNNNNNNNNNNNNNNNNNNNNNNNNNNNNNNNNNNNNNNNNNNNNNNNNNNNNNNNNNNNNNNNNNNNNNNNNNNNNNNNNNNNNNNNNNNNNNNNNNNNNNNNNNNNNNNNNNNNNNNNNNNNNNNNNNNNNNNNNNNNNNNNNNNNNNNNNNNNNNNNNNNNNNNNNNNNNNNNNNNNNNNNNNNNNNNNNNNNNNNNNNNNNNNNNNNNNNNNNNNNNNNNNNNNNNNNNNNNNNNNNNNNNNNNNNNNNNNNNNNNNNNNNNNNNNNNNNNNNNNNNNNNNNNNNNNNNNNNNNNNNNNNNNNNNNNNNNNNNNNNNNNNNNNNNNNNNNNNNNNNNNNNNNNNNNNNNNNNNNNNNNNNNNNNNNNNNNNNNNNNNNNNNNNNNNNNNNNNNNNNNNNNNNNNNNNNNNNNNNNNNNNNNNNNNNNNNUUUUCCUCUCCCUCAUCUCUAUUAUUUGGCCCUUCACCCCCUUCAAUCCCUUCAUCUUCUUUUUCCUCUCCCUCAUUUCUGUUACUUGGCCCUUCAUCCCAUUGAAUGUCAUCCAUUUCCCCAUAUCCCUUAAAUAGAUGUGAGACGACACAACGAUUCGUCCUCUGUUUCAGUAAAGCUAGGUCCCUCCUUACUUCCUGCUCAAACUGAGGACCUAAACAUUGGUCCAAUAGUUUUUCCAUCCGUAUGACCUUUAAGUGAAGGACGUCUUUUUCCCGCUUUUCUUGAAACAACUCGGACCUCAACAAGCUUACCACCUUGUUCAACUCAUCAAGAUCACCACAUGAAGAAGGAAUUGACUCUGCCGAGACAACAGCAGGGCGAUCCUGUGGCCAACUCCAAUAUGGCUGUCUCAUUUCCUCUUCACUUAGACAUAGCGCCCGCAACUGAACUGACUGUUUCAGAAUACAGACAAGAGUCAUAUUAAAUCAUUCUACUUCAUAAUUUCAUUCAAUCUUAUCAAUAGUUCUAAGGGCUGCAAACCAAACCUCUUUGCUCUGGAAAAAAUAAUUGUUCAACUUUCUCAUCUCUGGAACAGACGUAGUAGUUCUCCAUCGCAAAAUACGCGGGACAGCGGUCGGAUCAACAACCUUGCAGUAAUUCAGGUCCGCCAUUCUAGGAAUUAAUUCAUAUACCCAAAUCUACACAAUUCACAGGACAAAAGUCAUUAUUUAUGUUUUAAAGAAAAACAAAACAUAACUGACAUGAACAUUAUUACCAUGUACCUGGAAAGCAUACGUGAAACCUUUAAAACUCCAGCCACUCCUUUGCGCUUCACUAUGCUUAUCCUUCUUGCCCUUCUCAUUUCUCCGGCUUGUUCCCGUUACCUUACUUUUCCCCUUCCCUCUUCCCUCUUCAUUUUCCAAGCUUUUCACAUACUUUGUUGGUGCAGAAAAUAGACUGUCUUGGGUUUUGUCAAAGGACACCGAACCCCACGGAUACCUGUUGAACGCAUCCAAGUCCUCUACAAGGGUCAGGUAAUUUAGAUUGAUGUUCAAAUGUUUGUCCCUUCCCAAAACCACUAACUCAGCAAAGUAAACAAGAGGUAGCUUGAAGAUGUCAUCUUCCUCUGUGCACCUCACAAAUGCUUCUUCUAAAGCAUUGCAUGUAAUUCCUUCGUCUAUAAAAUAUCUUUUCUGAAGUCUGAUUUCAUUACUCUCUCCACUGGAAACUUCAGGCACUUCCCCAAAACGAAGCCCUGUGAUCAAACAGAAAUCCUGACGAGUGAACUGAGCAACGUCACACCCUAAUAAGAAACUCAGUCCAUCCAAGUCUUUCACACCCUGCCCCGCUACUCUACGCAACACAACCCCAUGCACAAUCUGUCCGCUAAACUGAAUCUUAUCUAUAUUCAGAAGAUGGCCAAAGCAUGAUGUCUUGAAUUGUUCUAAUUGUUCCGCACUCAACUUCGCUCGAAUUGCAGCUAGAGAUGAAUUUGCAUGUGAGCAGUUGUUCACCCGUGAUGAAUAUACCUCUGCCUCUGGCCAUACCAGCUCCACGUUGGAUCCCAUUUCCUCAAAUACAAUGUGAAAUAACGUGAACAUAUAUACUACCACGUAUUUGCACAAUCACAACUAGUCAACCAGGCACAUUACAACUUUUACAAAGUACAUGAGCAUAUGGAUUACUCAUCACAGGCUUUAACAUCAUCAAAGCAAUAUGACAAUUUUUGUGCAAAUACCUGUUAAUGCAAUGAUUAUGUGAAUUACAAACAAUUUCACGUGUUUUAUUUAUGGAUCCAUACUCGUGUGAGUGCAAUGUAGGCAAGUUCUGCACUUCACACACAUGACAAUUAUUGUCAUCUCAUACACAACCCAAAAUAAAUAAAUAAGAAAUAUAGUGGAAGGAAGCAAAGCAAAGCAUGUACUCUGCUAUCUGCUUGCUAAGCAAUUGCCACAUCCUUCUUUCUUUCUACCUUUUUCUUCAGUCACCCACAAUCGUCAUAGAUCAACCUUCAUUUCAAAUGCUUUGCACUUUUAUUCAUGAGUUUAUUAUUAUCUGUUCUCAUUUCUCAUAGGCAAAUUUAGUAACAAAUGAAAUAAUAUUUAUUUCACAAAAUAUAUAAAUUCUAGUGCCAGAGAGGUACUCUUCACUCUGCACUGCUUCAAAUGUGGAAGGUUUUGAGAUGUUAUUGACAUGUGAUUGACUUUAUUUUCAUUCGUUUUUUAACAUAUACCCAAGCAAAAAUUAACAUGCAAUUGAAGCACAAAUAAGAGAUGCCAAAUCCAACAACAUUGAUGGUACAAAUUGGGGAAAACCAUUACUCUAACCCUAAACUCAAAUUCCUUACAUUACUCAUCAAAUGCUUUGCAGUUCUAUUCAUGAGUUUAUUAUUAUCUGUUCAAAUGUUUCUCAGGCAAAUUUAGUAACAAAGGAAAUCAUAUUUACUUCAUAAAAUAUAUAUAUAUAUAUAUAUAUUCUAGCGCCUCUUCUUAAUCUGCACUAUGCACUGCUUCAAAUGUGGAAGGUUUUGAGGGCCUCCUCCAAUUCAACACCAUUAUCUUAUUCAUAUCAUUAUUGACAUGUUAUUCACUUGUUAUUGACUUCAUUUUCAUUCUUUUUUUAACAUAUACCUAAGCAAAAAUUAACAUGCAACUGAAGCACAACGAAGAGAUGCCAAAUCCAACAAAAUUUAUGGUACAAAUUGGGGAAAACCAUUACUCUAACCCUAAACUCAAAUUCCAUAAAUUACUCACCAAAUGCUGGUUAUUGCAAGGUGUCUGUGUGGGGUCUUUCUGUUUCUUUGCUCCACAAAUGGAACCUACCACUUCCAACGAAUACAGCUUUUCCCCUUCCCCUUCCACUGCUUCGCCUCUUCACUGAUUUGGAAUCCACACCUUUGCCCCUUCUACUCCAAAUAAAUACUUUCUCGGGGUCUGGAGAACGGAGUGGCGAAUCGUUGCCUUCAACUGUCGUUAGCCGUUGCCUUCAUUGGGUAUCUCAGACCUCUGUGUUUUAGAGAGAUGAGUUCUUUCUGUUCAAACUUCGAACUUGCCUCUUCUUCUUCUUUUUCGGACGUGUUUCCCUCUUCUUCUUCUUUUUGGACGUGCUGGAUAUUCAAUUCGGGUUUGGGUUCCUUACCUACCCAAUUGUGAAACUUUAACUCAAUUCUCCCCAGCCCUUGGAUUAAUCUGAUGGCUAUAAAGUGAACCCCUUAUAACUUACCCCUUAUAACUUUCCACUCAUUAUAGUCUUGGCCAGGUAUGGCGGCCAUGCUAGUAAGUGUUGGGUCUUUGACCCAACUUAAGCUAAAUGGGUCAUAAGAUGACCGAUCAUCUUAUCUCAUAAGGAUAUAUAAGUCAUGUUAUGAUUUAGGAUUUUAUAGGGUUUCCUUUGUAAGAGGUAAGAGAGAAACAAGCUCUCUCUCUCUCUACACAAGGAGGUCAGCCAUAGCAAGGGAAAGGCUCCUAGCACUCUCCUCUCUCUUAUUAUAUCAUCCUUCCAAGGACAGCUUUGGUAUGGUAAAGUUGGAGGUUGCACACUUUGUGCACUUUGGUAAGAACUCAUCCAAGGGAGCCAAGAUUAAAUUGGUUAGCUGUUGGAUUAAAUUGGUUAGCACGAUUCAACGGUUAAUAGAUAAAACUUCACAUAAAAGUCAUAUAUAAGGCCCUCACUAUAGAAUGACUCGUUAGUUUAGUCUCUUGUUACAUAUCAAAUGUUAGAGAUAUUUUUUAAUAAGGAUCUGCCAUACCACAUAGUUGGAUAAGACAUUAUACACGGCUUUUGUAAGAGCAUCUCCAGCGCUCCAAACUAGCCCAAGCAGCAGGGGGGCCUAAGUCUAGGAAGCAGCUCCAGCUCGCAAGAUUCAACCCAGGCAAGGUGUGGAACCCACGAGGAGAUCUAGCCCGUCACCUUGCCUUUGGGUUUCAGUCAAGCUGAUGUCAACGAAAGAAUUUCAAAUUUUUUUUACCGUUACAAUGUACGCGCCAACGAUAAAUUUUCUUUGGAUUUCUUGCAUUGAUCCACAGCUACCAAAAACCAACAGCUACAAGCCACGUGGCUUCUCCAGGAGCCUCCGAUCCAAAAAUCAUGUCAAAUCUAACGGCAGUCCAUUUUUUGGCUAAAAAUAUCAAAAAAUUAUGGAAACAUGUUCUAUAAAUUCCUACAAAUAUUAUUCACUUCCCACACCAAAUCUUCAUACAAAUUCAUAUCCUUUCAAUAUUUUUCACUUUCCAUACAAGAUUUUCUACUACUAAGUUUCGUUUGUGUAAAAAUACAAAUGACCUCUUCUAUCGAAGCCGGAGGCGCGUGUACAACCGUGGAAGAUAUUUUGUUGCGUGAGUGUUGGGUCAAAGUUGGUCAUUCCCUGAUCACGGGCAAUGAGAUGAAGUCCUCUCGUAGGAGUUUCUGACAUCGCAACGAAAGUAAGAUGUGAUAUGAAAAUGUAAGGAAUUUGAUGAGAGGAAUGGGAUUUGAGGAGUUUGAUGUAGGAAUUGAUGUAGGAAUUGAAUUUGGGAGGUAUGUAUAUAAGAUUUGAGGGUAUGUGUUUAGGGAUUUUGAUAAGAGGAUUUGAGGAAUUUAGAUUUGAAGGAUUUGGAUUUGGGGAAUUUAAAUAUGAGGAAUUUGAUUAGGGUUUGGGUUUGAAUAUGUGAAAUUUGAUAUGAGAGUUUAGAGACAACAGAUGAUCGAUUGCUCUGAUACCAUGCUAAAAUAUGAUAUGGUUUGAAUACUUUAGGUUGAGUUUUAUUCUUUUCCAUAAAAAGGUAUAUAUAGGAGUUUACAUGAGUGCUUUACAAAGAAAUAGAUACAAUAAUCAAUUAGGAUAAUAUCUCCUAAUUAUACAAUAAUUUGUCAACUAUAUAGAAUAGGAAAGUAAAUUCCUUAAUUAAUCAAGAAAAUAAAUCUCAUUGAUUAAUUAGGAGACUAACGUCAACAUUUAUAAGCCAUAAAAGAGCAGAAAAAGAGGUACUUAGGAGAUUUUAUACGUCGGACUAAGGUAAGCUUAAAGGACUAUAUCAAAAAAAUAAGGGACCAAGAAGCAAGACAGAGAAGUUGUUAUGCAAACCCAUUAAGUUUAGCAGUGAUGAAUUUGUAAAAAUCAUUCUAGUGGAUUCUGCCUUCACUAUUGAGUUCUUAUUGAGGUUCUAUCUGAAAGGAUCUGGACAUGAAGGAGACCGCUUAUUAAACAAACCGUGGAUGUUUACAGCCUGACAUGUGGUUGCUUGAAAAUCAGCUCCCAUUCUUUAUUCUUGAGGAUCUUUAUCACACAUACAUAAUAACCGACUCUUUUAGGAAUUAUUACAGUACUCAUGAUCAUGAGAGGCUUUCAAUAAUUAAUAUUUCUAAGAAUUUCUUCACAGCCGGAAUAUUGAAUUUGGAGGGGAAGGGAGACAAAUGGAACAGAAUAUCAUCUUCUUCUAGUGUUGGAAAUUUUAUAUUAUUUAAUAAUAUUUAAUUUCUAUUGUGAAUGAAAAAUAAGUUUCUUUAAGAAACGUGUGUCUUAGGCCAGUUUUUCUAACUGGUCGGCUUCCUUAGAUUUGUGCCUAUUGCUUUUCAAAGUAUAAUGAUGCAAUGGUUGUAUCUCGUUCAGGCAAAUGGAAGGUAUAUAGCAAUUUAUAGAACAAUACAGUAAUCCAGAAGAAAUAUUAUGAAAUGAAAAGAAUAAAAAGUAAAAAAAGAGAAAGAAAGGAAUUCCCACCUGCAAUGUAUAUGUAUGAAAGGAAGGACCAAGUUUGUUUUAAAAUGGUAAGAACAAGUUGAUUUUAAAUUGGGUUCAGAUCAACUCAUAGAUUUCUUGCCUUUUCUGUUCUCCUUCCUUGGACAUGAACUGUUUAAUCUUGGACUCUUCCCCAUCAUGUUGGGCCUGUCUUCUUCUUGAGGAUUGUAUAGGCCUAGGAAAUGCUUCGGGGUAGUUUUUGUGUUUUGGGCAUUGGGACCCAACUUCACAAAAAGAAAACAAAUUUGACCAAAACACAAAUUUGAAGGACAUUGAAAUUGUACCCGUAGGAUAGAUUAAAACACUAUAAGGGAGGUAAAUAGUACGUUUACAGAGUUUAAGUGUAAUAAAGGAAUAAAAACAUGCCCAGAGAAUUGAUAAGUGAUAUCAAUUCUUGAAUAUACGUGAAAAUUAUUUUAUGUGGUUAAACCCCACCUCUGGGGAAAAUCCACGGAACUUCUUAGUCCAACUUCUAUCACUUAUCCUAGACACAUUCUAGAUAAUGUUUGCCAACCUCUUCGUAACUCAACUUCUGUCACGAGAUGAUCUUUCAACACUUUAUGUCGAACGCAAUACUGGUCACGAUUUCUUCAAGCUCGCCGGAGUUCUUCCAAUUCUCCUUAUAUUGAAUCUGAUACUAGUCACGAUCGAUUCAAGCUCAUCGGAGAAAAAUCGCCACAACAAUCUUGGUGCCCUCAACCGUAUGAGUCACUGAACAUGCAAAUGAAUACAAUAUGAAUGAUAAAAGUGUUUGAUAAAUCACCAAGUUAUGGAACACUUGAUGAUUUAUCUCAAAUAAAAAUUCAGCUUUCCAAAGUUUAUGAAUUGAAAAUAUGACCGUUAAAGCUCUCUAAACAAAGAAGACGAAGGUCUUAUUUUAUAGACUUUUACUUUACAAGAAAGAAAACACGUUGAAAACCAAAUCUCCAAUUUCCAAGGCUUGACAGAAAAUCACAAAAUUAUCUUUCCUAUUCUAGAGAUUGGUCACAUGAAGUCCAACCAAUAGGAAAUGAGAUAUUUAAGAAAGGAAGAUUUUGAUCAAUAUCAAUAUCAAAUGAAUUCUUAUACGCCUAGUCAAUUGUUAUGGGUAUCUUGACUCCUUGAUAUUGUGAUAUGAUUGAAACAUGAUUUCCACGUUAGAAAAUUAAGGGGAUGUUAAAACAUGAAGGUAAUAGGAGAAUCAAAUUGAUUUGGGCCAAAAUUGCCUAAAAAGAAAACACUCCUUAAUAAACUUCAAUUUACUUUUAAAAAUAGUAAAACGUGAUUGAAUCGUUCUUUAAAACAAUUCCCUAAUAUACAUGCAUGAUAGUGAUAUCACUUACCUUUGAAUCAGAUGGCUUUCACGGGUCAAGCCACAAGUUUUUGUCUUGGGGAUUGCUGAGCUUCAUCAAUCCUGCCAAUGUCAAUUUUGCCCCUAAGCUCUCUCAAAGCACGUUUACAACCUAUGCUAACAUAUAUUAGAGUUUAUGUUAGUAUCAAGAAAAUGCCAACACUAAUUUCGUAACACGUAGAAAUUGUUAGAGAUUGAAGUUUUUAUCAUUUUUUCUUCCAGACUCUCCACCACUCACUAAUAUAGUUUACUCAUGUGAUGAGUUUACAAAACCUAUUUCUCUACUCUCACAAAGACUAUACUUAGGGGGGUGUAUUCAAUUAGGAUUCUAAAGCGUUUAAAAAGAUUUUGUUUAAGUGCCAGCUUUCAUAGAACUUGAUGGAACUUUAUAAUUCGUAUAGAACUUGAUAGACUUUCAGAAGACUUCUGUAUAAUUUUUUAAUAAAACUUUCUUAAGCUUUCAUAGAACUUGAUAGGCUUUCAUUCCAAACUUAUGUAGAUGGUAUAUUUCAUUUUAUCCCCAUCCUUGACAUUUAAAGAAAGAAACUUGAAUUUUUUCAAUCAAAUUUGUUUUUGUUACCAAAGCAGCAAAAACAAAAAGUACUUGUUUGCGAUGGAAGAACAUAUGCACAGUUCAAAAUGAAAAGAAUAAGAAGCAAAGUACCUAUUUGACCAAUGAAUGCUGUGUCAACUAGAGAAGCAAUUGGAUCGGCUGUCAAAGCCAAUGCUGCAGGCAAUGCAUCGAUGGUCCAAAUUGCAAUAAAAAAAUAUUUUGAAUAAUGGCUCUUGCAGACAAAGACCACAUAAAUUCUGAACUGGUCUAGCUUGAAUAAUAAGGUUAGAUUAGCCAAUUGAUGAGAUUAAAAGCAAAGCAAGUUGAUGAAUUUAUCAUCAACUAUUUAAUAACCACAGUCCUGAUCUCUUGGACCCCUGUAGUCCAAGAGAUUUAUGGUCACCCACCGUUGGAUGUAAAUUCAACGGUUGACUUGAAUCGGGUAAUAAUCAUUUAUGUCAUAUUGCAUUUAUAUAUAUCAUUUUGAACCAUUGGAUUAAUAUCCAACGGUGGGUGACCACAAUCUCUUGGACUCCUGUGGUCCAAGAGAUCGGGACUGUUAAUAACCAAUAGAGUAUUUAAACAUAAACAACAAUGUUUGAUCAACAAAACAAAUAGUCCAAAUAUCAUCCAAAAAACAAUAACAAAAAAUCAAUCAUUCCAAACAAACUAGUCAUUCUCAAAAACUCUCAAAAAACCCACUCAUUCCAAAUUGUAGGAUAUCCAAUUUGAGCACUCCUCAGGAGACAUUUUCAAAAAUGCAUCCUUUUUUGUGUUACUAUGCAACAAAGAGAGUGCUUUAUAACGAGCAUGUUCAUCCAAAUUUGGGGUCUCCUUAAUGGCAUCCCAUAUAUAACUCCGCUGCUCUCUCUCUUUUUCCCUUUUUGCCAAUAGGUUAUGGACCUCCCGGAAGUCGAUGACAAUUGAAUCAAUGCUAAGGCUAAUUCUUCCCAUAGCUUGCUGGGUGGUCACAUUUGAGAUAGCAUUCCCUUCCAAAUAUGUUCUAGUUCGUUUCCUCUAGUAACAAGCAUAAAUCCUAGUAACAAGCAUAAACCCUAACCCCAACCUAUAACCUAAUAACAAGAAGAAAACCCAACGAGGUAUUGAUCAAAGAAAAAUUAGGGAGCAUACCUUCACAGAUGGAGGAAGGAAGCUGUUCGUCUUCGCAGAGAGAAAAUCUAGGGAAAGAGAAAAACGUCUUAUGAAAUACUUGGGGGGGAGGUUGGAUUUAUUUUGGUCUUUUUUAUUUAUAACUCUCCCCUUAAAACCUACGUAAAUUUAUCACUUAAUGAAAUCCUUCCAAAUAUAUGACCUUUCGAAUACACCUAGAUUUGAUUCAACUUUUUUAUAAUCAUAAUUGAAUACACCCAUAUUUGAAUGGACUUUUUAAAAGUUCAUAUAGGUCCGAAAUGAAUAUACUCAAACUUGUAAAACCUCUUUUAAAGUUUGUAUAAAUCCAAAUUGAAUACACCUGGAUUUUUAAAAUCUUUUUAAACACUUUAUAAUCCUAAUUGAAUACACCCCCCUUAUUCUCAAAAGACUAUAUUACUUUACCUCUAUCUCUGUGAAAUGUAAAAAGUUGAAACUUUAAUGUCAAACCUCAACAAAAGAUGAACUUUCAUCAGUUACGUUGAAUUUGGAUUUGUUGAACUUAAGUGGUUUUAUUUUCUUUGUCAGUGUUUGAUGACUUAAUUUGGUAUUUAUUUCUUCUUUUUUUUCCUUGGAAAUGUGUUCCACCAACGUGAGGAAGAAAAAUAUGCACAAAUUAAUAUAUUUAAUAGAAGCCCAAGAUUUCGGAUGCAUAUAAUUUCUACAAAAAUCUACAAAGUUUUUUACUUUACAAACUUCUUAUGUCUACCAAUUUCUACUAAAAUUAAUUUCUCUGUGGUGCUCAAAUUCAUCAUAUGUGUGUCGUUAAUUUUAUUGAAAAUUGGAAGUUCCCAUCAUUUUUGUUUUUUGGGAAUUUUCUGAACCAAGGAAAAUCAAGUAAAAUUAAUAAAGCCUAAAUUGGAAAGGGAAAAUAUCUAGAGGAUGCAUUGUAGGAUUGCUCAUGCCAAUAAUUGUACCCUCUAAAUAUAUAGAGACAUAUUUUUUUUGUUUUCAUGACAUGUGGUCCUAAAAUUAUUGUGUAAAUCUUCAAUCCUGAACGAUGCACCUAAAACUCAUCCACCCAUUCUCAGGCCAAUUAUUGCACCUAGUGGGCUCUCGACCCCCUCUCAAAUUUAACCACAUAUUUUAUGGACCAUCCAGCUGUGAGGUACAUUCCCCCCACAUGCCACAAUUGUAUAUUCACAAUUACGUCUGAUACAUCACAUCAUGCCACUUGCCUCAAAUGAAUUUAAGUGAGUGAGGCAGUUGGAAGUAAUUAAGCUCUAUAUUGGUGGGUGGAGUGUUACUUCUCGGUUCCCCUCAUCAUUCGUCUAUAAAAUGGUGAAGGCAGUUGCUAUUGUUACCAUAAGAGCCAGCUCCGACUUCCUUUAAUUUCUUGCUUCAUAUCCACUAGCUACAUCUGUUACCAAGUUAAUUUCAGUUCUAAUGGGGUUUCAUCUCCCACUCAUCUUUGCUCUUCUCAGUGUAAGCUCUGCAAUUUGAUUAACUUUUCCAUUCUCUCUCAUUGUACUCUAUAUAAACGAAAGUUUUGUGUUCCUAUUGUUCUCUCCGAUUUUAUUUAGUACGUACUUAAGUGUCGUCCACUAAUUAAUUAUACUUUGUGAUUUGAUUUUAAUUUGAGUUUGAAUUAAUGUUGCAGCUAGCAGCAGUGGCACUGGCAAACCAUGCUGCUCAACCAGCACCUCAACUUUACUGGAGCUCCGUCCUGCCAAACACACAGAUGCCAAGAUCUAUCAGUGAACUUCUGCAUCCUGGUUUGUGUUGAGCUCUUUAGAAUCUUAGAUAUCUCUUCUACCUGCCAUUUUACUAAAAUAUGUUCCACCACAUAUUUAUCAGUUAACCAUUGUCAUUACAUGAGUGACACAUAUUCACAAAUCGGCUGAUCACUUAUUUUCCAUUAUGACUUGAUAUAUAAUUUGCAGACUCCACAAAUGAAGAAAAGAGCACAAAUGACGUUGGCAAACCUGAAACUUUCCCAUUGGGCAAUCAACAUUACUCCAGUCAAAAACAUUAUGGAGGCAUACCUGAAACUUCCCCAUUGGGCAAUAAACAUUACUCCAGUCAAAAACAUUAUGGAAGAGGCAAACCUGAAACUUUCCCAUUGGGCAAUCAGCAUUACUCCAGUCAAAGACAUUAUGGAAGAGGCAAACCUGAAACUUUCCCAUUGGGCAAUAAACAUUACUCCAGUCAAAAACAUUAUGGAAGAGGCAAACCUGAAACUUUCCCAUUGGGCAAUCAGCAUUACUCCAGUCAAAAAAAGUAUGGAAGAGGUGCUUCUCCAUCCGACAAUCAACAACUCCAUUAUAAAGACUUAGCUAUUUUCUUCUUGGAGAAGGACAUGCGCCCUGGCACAACAAUGAAGUUCCAAUUCC